GACAACCAAAAUUUCAAAUUCAAAUAAUCAGCAGGAGAUCCAAAACCAUACCUCAACUGGAGUCUUCAAGAAAACUAAUUGCAGAUGAUGGAGACCAACAGACCAAAUAGCAGUGGCAAACAAAUCCAACCAAAUGUCCAUAGACCAAAGUUAGAAAGCAUAUGACUUGCCUUCUACAAGAGGGUUCCACACAAAUGUUCUGCAGUGCAUGUGGUGUCUCCAAAAUAGUGUGGUGUCUCAUUAACCAAACUUGCAGAACUUAACAAAUUGGCCCUCACUAAAUUCAACUUUACCAAAAAAGCAAAACCAUACCAAUAUCCAAAACAAUAAAAACACCGAUGAAGAGCAACUGACAUAACACAAACAUACAUAGAGGCUACUAAGCAACUUUCUCAAAUCAUAACAAAGAGUCCUUACAAACUCUUAAAUCUCCAUAUGUAGCAGAGAGAUUUAAGAGUACCCACAACACCAGAUUCCUUUUUUUUUUUUUUUUUUUUUUUUUUUUUAAUUUCAAAUCUGGUGUAGCCAACUGUCAUCAUAGAACAAAGUCGAAGUCGUCAUCGACGACACAUUCGCACUCGCACCAGCAUUAUCUUUCAGUUUUGGGCAAUCAACUUUCCAAUGCCCUUCCUUGCGACAAUAGUUGCAUGUGUUGUUUCUGGUCUUAGACUUCGAUCUCAAAUUUCCUUUAUUACUCCCUGAACCAUAUUCCCUAUCUCUGCCUCUUUGCUAUCAAAGCCUCAGAAUGAGAAUCAUUCAAAUUUCCAAAUACUUUGUUCUUUAACUCUCUUGAAUUCAAAGCGGCUUUUACAUUCUCCAUACAAAUAGAAUCUCUCCCAUAUAACAAAGUUUCAACAAAAUUCUCAUACGAAGGAGGUAAAGAACACAACAAAAUCAAAGAUUGAUCCUCAUCAUUAAUUUUAUUAUCCAUACUUUUCAAAUCCAUAAUAACCUUAUUAAACUCAUCAAGAUGGUUUUGAAUAGGUGUGUACCUUCAGUCAUACGGAGAGUGUACAAACGUUGCUUCAAAUACAAACGAUUGGUGAGGGAUUUGGUCAUGUAUAUACUCUCCAACUUAAGCCACAAACCAGCUGCAGUAGUUUCAUUUUCCAUCUCACGAAGAACUUCAUCAGAUAGUGAUAACAUAAUUGCACUAUGUGCUCGAUUCAAAGCAUCUUCUUUUUCUUCAGCAGACCAAUCUUGUGGCAAGGCUUCCACACCCUGUAGCGCCUUAAGCAACCCUUGUUGAACUAGCACAGCUCGCAUCUUAACCCGCCACAGGCUAAAAUCAUUCCUCCCAUUGAAUUUUUCAAUAUCAUAUUUCACCGACAUAUUCGAAGGUUUCAUAGACAUAUUAGUACAAAGCCCCAAGUCGAAACCCGGAGCUCUGAUACCACUUGUUGUGCGGAAGCGUCAAAUAUGAAACCAAUAAACUAAUACGGCAAAAUAUGACAAGACAAAUAAUCCAAAAGACACAAGGAUUUAUACUGGUUCGGCGUAAGCCUACAUCCAGUUCUGAGACGGCGAGGAAAUUCCACUAAUAUCAAAAGGAGAUUACAAAUAGAGUUUUAACUCUCAAACCCAAAUCUCACAUACACCCAAUAGCUCUCACUCUCACAAAGAACAAAUGGAGAAGAUGGAAACAUAUACCAAAUUCCUUCUCUCCCAACAGCCACAAAAUGUAGUACAAUUAUCUUUGGUUGAGUGAUCACUAACAAAGGGGAUUACAAACAAAGGGAAGAAUAGAAAACAGCAACCUUUCUAUUUUUCUCUCUAAUCUGCCAUUUUUCUUUUCUCGGCUUCUCCUCAAACAUAUAGCAGCUGCUGCCUUGAAAAUACCAAAAGAAAAGCUCUUGACUUUUCUUCCCUGAGCCAACAUCCUAACAAAUUACAUCAUUGCUGCCUUUUCUCUUUUUUUCUUGCUUUCGGCUGCACUUCUUUUCUGCUACCUUUCUGCUGCUUUUCUGCAGCUUGUCUUCUGACCAAAAGGCAUGAAUUGCCUUAUAUAAGGCUGGUGCCUUUUUAAUUAAUACCCUAGCUGUCAUGUGGCUUUCAAAUGGGUAACAAAAGGCCAAACCUAUUUGGGCUUGAGACAAAAAAACUAAAGGCCCAAGAAGUAUUGAGCCACAAAAUCCAACAGCAUCAUUGAGCAUAAACUCGCCACCGUUCGAAAGCUCAACUUUGGAUCCCUCUGGAACUAGAUUUUCCCCAUUGGCUGACCAGACUAUAGUUUUAUCUUUUAUCUUAUCGAACCAAAUGGCUAGUAAGAACCCUUCUUUUCCGAUUCUUUGAAAACCGAUAGCAAAGUCACCAGAUGGCGAUGUCCAUGAUGAUGAGUUUUCAUUUAGUGCAGUGAGAGAUGAGCCUAAAGAAAUGUUUUUGGCGGUUUGAGCUAGGGUGGAAAAUGGUAGAAACAUGAAAAGGACGAAGAAGAGAAGAUUUAUCAGUGGACAAGCCAUGGGAAAAUUACAAAGGUGACGAAAAAUUUCAAAUAAAUUAUAUUUUCUGUGUCAAUCACUUGCAAUUUUUUAUUUCAUCUUCUUCAAGUAUGAAAUAACAAACUUGGAUGCUGGACGAUGAUGUGAUUUCUUGUGCUUAAAUUAGAGGAUCAAACCGCAACAAAGUCAACAAUGAGCUCAUUUUCGUCAAUGGUUCAAUUGACUUUGAUUCCAAGUCUUUUUUUGGAUUCUUCACGGGCAUUACUUGGAAACUGUUUACUUUGACUCUUCAAGAUGUACUUUGUUCAAUUCUGCAUGGCGUGUAAGAUAAUUUAGUUUUCUGAGUAUUCUAAGAUGCAUGGAUGAAAGUUCAAGACAGUGAUAAAACAUUUUAAAUGAAAAUUGUUACGGAUUUGAAGAAAUCAACUUACUUAUAAGCCAAACUUACUAAUAAAACAAUCAAUUGGUAACAUAAGAAGUAAUCUGACAUUCACAACACAAUUUAUCAUGUGUGACGAAUUUUAAAAUCAAACACUAAUAUUGGAUGCGCAUACACGAUGGGACCUCAAAUUUCAACAUGCACAAUUACUCUUUCAACAAAAACAAUAUGGACUCUCUGAAUUCUGAACUACAAGGUUCAAGAUUUUGAGUUUUCUUUGAUCAUGAUAGCAAAGAAACAAACACUUAAAUUAUUGAACUCAUAAUGACGAUGGAUUCGGUGGAACUGAAACUUCAACAGUUCCUUCUGGCAUCUGCGUGACUUUCUUCAUCGUCGGUCUCAGUGACGGGUCCUCUGAAUGUACCACAUUGCAAUUAUCACGUAAUUCUCCAUCAUCUUGACGUCUUCCAUUGCCUCACCGUCCUUGUCCAAUUGCAAAUUCAGCUUCUUUUGCAUACAGAAAUCAUAUGCCCAACAAGCUAGUAUCAGCUGAUCUACAUUAUCCACAUGUUCAUCAAAAUUAUUCCUCCAACAAAUAAUUUUUAGUAACAAAAUGCCAUCGCUAUAAACAUCUACCUUCACUGGGAUAGGCAUGUUUUUUAACCUAUGAGGAUGUGAAGGUAAAAAAAAUCUCACAUUAGUGAAAGGAUAAACCUUGCCACGUCAUCACUUAACGGUUUAUUUAACAGAUUUUCUAACGGAUGUAUAAAAUUGAAAUAAAAUGAUAAGUAAAUGUAUGAAAUUGAAAUGUUUUAAAAAUGUUGUAAGGAAUUGAAAUUGACCCCAAACCUGAAGGGGUAAAAUGUAAUUUACCCUUAACUUUAAUAUAUAUACCAAAUUUGGUUUCAACUCUUGCUUUUGGAUUUAUCGAUCCGCUGGUGGAGGUUGCUUGCAAGUCUUUCAAUCUUAUAUAUAGGGAAUUGCUGAAUGCCAAAAUACCCCAUUUAUCCCCCCACCCCAAACACCACCCAACCCAAGCCAAAACAUUGGGCUAAAAGUCAAAUGCUAAAACUGGGUUAAAUACCCCCCAGGUUCCCCCCACACACGCAUGGACUUGCCUAAAAUAGGUCCAGUCUCGGCCCGCUCACUCGCCGACCUGCCUCACGCAGCCCACGUGCCUUCAUCGCCCGACAACGGGGGGCCCACUGUCAGGGCCGCUGUGGGCCACAUCCCCGUGCCCAAUGGCUCUUUUUCACAUCCAACGACAAGAAUUUAAGGACCGUUGGUUGAUCCAACAGUCCAGAAUCAUUUUUUUUUAAAUGUUAUUUUAAAAUACAUUGAAUCCAACAGCUGAGAUCAAAUAUAAUCAAAUCUAACGAUAAAAAAAAGAUCUAACAACCCAAAUUUAAAUCCAAAUACUAAAAUAAUUAAAAAAAAUUAUUUAAUUGAAAAUUCACCAAAAAACUCUAUAAAUACCUAUGUAUUUGUUCAAACAUCUAUACAAAACUCAAUUUUCUCCUACAAUUCUUCCAAUUUAUCUUUCUACCAUUUCUUUCCAUUUCCAAAUUGUUCAACAUGGCAAGAGAGCAUAUUAGAGGUCAUAAUUGGAUCUAUGAGGAAGAUGUUGCGUUAUGCUUGUCAUGGGUUUCUAUUAGCGAAGAUGAUGCAGUUGACACAAAUAAAAAAAAAAAAAGGUUUUGUGGGAUAAAAUCUUUGCAAAGUUUCAAGAAAACUGCAACGGCGGUGAGAGGGACGGUAGUGGUGUUUACGAUCGAUGGAAGACUAUCAACAAAACAUGCACUUUAUGGAAGGGAAGUUUGGAGGGAGCCGUGGUUGGCAUGGCUAGUGGAAGGAGCGCCGCAGAAGUUGUGAGGCUUUUUUCUUGAUAUUUUAUUUGUCAUGUACAUAAUAUUAUUUUGCAACUAAUUGUUUUUAUGUAUUUUUUGCAUAGGGUGACAAAAGCAAUGGAAAUUUAUAAGACGAGAGCAAAACCAAAUAAUCAAGUUUUUAAGUUGCAACAGGCUUGGGACGUCUUCAAGGAUUGUUCGAGGUGGGGAACAGAUGCAGACCAACAAUGGGGAAGAUUAUUUCAACGUGAAGUUGCACCGACAAAUGCUGGAGAUAAAGGUGUCAAUGAAGAUGUUGCCGAAAUAACCCCAACUCCUUCUUUUGCAAGGCCCCCAGAAAGAGAUAAGCAAAAGGAAGCAAAGAGAAAAGGGAAGUCCCAAGAUCCUUCGAGUGGACACAUUGCUACAGGAAUUACAAAAUUGAGUGAAACCCAUUGUCACAUCCCGGCCUGGGCCCUCACCGCCGUAGCACAAUAUUGUCCGAUUUGGGCCCCAACUACGCCCUCACAGUUUUGUUUCUGGGAACUCACAUGAGAACUUCCCAGUGGGUCACCAAUCUUGGGAUUGCUCUCGCACGAACUCGCUUAACUUCGGAGUUCCGAUGGAACCUGAAGCUAAUGAGUUCUCAAAAAGCUUCAUACUAGGUAGAGAUGAGAAUAUACAUAUAAGGCUUACAUGAUCCACUCCCCUGGGUGAUGUGAGAUGUAACAAGGCAUGGGCCCCCACCACAUCCCGUACUUGACUCCAUUGUAGCAUGAUAUUGUCCACUUUGGGCCCCGACCAUGCUCUCACGGUUUGGUUUUUGGGAACUCACACGAGAACUUCCCAGUGGGUCACCUAUCCUGGGUUGCUCUCGCGCGAACUCGCUUAACUUCAGAGUUCCGAUGGAACCCGAAACCAGUGAGUUCUCAAAAGGCCUCAUGCUUGGUAGAGAUGGGAACAUACAUAUAAGGCUUACAUAAUCCACUCCCUUAGGAGAUGUGGGAUGUAACACCCAUAGCGCUCACCACGAAGAAGCGGCCUGAAUGCGUUUGUAAAUGAAGGAAGAAGGGGAUAGGGAGCAAGAGAGGUUCGAAAUAAAUUUGAUGAUGGAGGACCUCAACAUAUACACUUCAGAGAGGAAGAAGUACUUACAUGGUAAGCAAAGGGAAAUUUUGCAAAGGGAUGUCAGAAGGAGUAUAUUUUAAGAUGAUAAUUCAUCUGAAGGCUAUAUCCCAAGUCCACCAUCACAAAAUCAAGAUGGUGGAUAUCAUUAUUAAGUUUAUGAAUUUUCGAUUGUAUUAAUUUUAUGUGGUUCAUGAAUUGUCGUUUGUAUUAAGUUUAUGUACUUUAUUAAUUGUUGUGUGUAUUAAUUAUUGUUUCUAUUAAUCUAGAUGCCUUCAAUAAUUAUUGUACUUAUUAUUUGACACUUUGAUGUAGAGUAGAUGCCUUCAAUAAUUCAACUUCCAUUCAAUAAUUUAUCCAACAUACUACACAAAAUAUUUUGCACAAGAAGCCACUUAAAUGUAUUACUAGAAAAUACGAACAUAGUACACUUAAAAUUAUUACAUAAAUGCUCAACAACAUCAUCAACGUUCACCUUCUCGACGCCAUACAUGCUCAACCAAAUCCUUGCGGAAUGUGUUAUGACCUUGAGGAGCUUGAAUUUUAUUUAAACGUCUCAUAUACUCACUCAAUGUGACCCUAUCCUAUUGGGUCUCAUAUGUGGUUUUAGCAAGAUAUUCAACAUCUCUUGCAAUAGCUUUCGCAUGUGUUUGUUGGUCAUCAUCCACAUCUUCGUUUGAAUUUUCUUCAAUUUCGAUGUACUCAUCUUCGACAAUUGUGUUCAAUAUGUUAUCAAAAAGCUCUCUUCUCAUCCGAAACCGCCUCCGAAAAUCAUGAGAAAGAAAUCUUGGACGCUCGAUGAAAUAAUCUUUCAUCAUUCGGUCAUGACACUUUUCUCUAUCACGUUGCACAAACGAACACCCAUGAUAGAACCACGAUGGCUAGAUUCGGCAUGGUGCUAAUAUUGCAUAAGCGAGUUUGCAAGUUCAGCUUCGGCGUUGAUCAUUUCAGCAUCCUCAAUGUCAAACCUUGCUUGGUAUUGUGCCAUCUGCAUUGCCCUGCUACGCUUUCUUCUAUCACCCAUUGAUGAGAUAUUGAGGACUUUUAGGAAACAAAAACACUUUGAAAGUUGAGAGAUUGGUGAAUAUAGAGGAUGAUUGAAGGUUGAAAGAUUGGGUGAUCAACUGAUAUUGGACCUGUGUUUAUAUAGAGGAUGAAAGUUGAACGGUUGGUGAAAGUUGAAAGUUUGGUGAAAGUUGAACGGUUGGUGAAAGUUAAAAAUUUGCUGAAAGUUGAAAGAUUGGUGAAAGUUGAAGGCUUGCUUUGUGGAAAUAUUUAGUGAUUUUUCAAUAUUUAUCAGAAUUUAAAUAUUUUUAGAUUAAAAUGUUCAUAAAAUUAAUUUACGAUAGUUUACAUAAUUUUUUUCUUAAAAAAGUUAAAUUAAGAAAAAAAAUUAGUCUAAGUUCAUUCUUUAAUAAUCCCGGGCUAAAAUUUUAGGUCAAAAUGGUUGGAGCAGAAAAACUGUUUCUGGACUAAAAACCAAAUUUUCUGAGCUAAAAAAUUUGGCUUUUAGCCUAAGGGUUGGAGAUAGUCUAAGCGUUAUGUCUUUGAUUAUUUUGUUUACUUGUGCAUGCCACAAUAUGCUUUGAGUCUUCAAGUGAUAAAAGUUUACAUGAGUAGUUUUUAGAUCAAGUGCCGCUAUUAAUUACUCUCUGUCAUACCCAUCGUAAAAGUUCGAGACAAUAACAAAUCAUUUUACUCUUUUAGUCAAGGAUAAAAAUUAAGAAAUAAAUAACUAGCAAUUAAGUAAUAAGGUGCUUAUGACGAUUUAUACCUAGUAUAUCGUGGCAAUGUCCGUACGUAUAAGGUCUGCAUAUGUUUUUGGCACAAAUUACAGCGCUUGAGCCUCGAGUCUAGAUGCAGCGCUGUAAGGUUUGCAAUCGGGAUCAUGCAUUCUACUACUUAAUUUUCAAGUCAACUGUAACGAGUUCCGUCGUCUUCACUAACAACUAAAUAAACGUUCAAUCAUGGUAGAUUUGCAGUUGGAUAUUUGGUAAUUGGGUAAUGGAUGCAAAGUCUUUUUAAGUCUUAAUAUGCAUGCAGGCCAAUCACUUGGAAGCCGCCUUCUUUGAAUGCUUCAAAGAGAUUGAACAUCAAUGCUGUUCUGAGUCUAGUUUUAAACUCGAGUCUUUCCUAUUGUCCAUGGCCUACAACAAGCAUUCUUUUCUACCCCUUUUUUUGGGUUGAAGCCCUAACUAGUCCAAUCUAGACUUGGAAACUCUAUACAGCUACUCUUUUUUGUAGAAUUUAGAAGCUUCUAGUCACGUCUCUUCUAGCCCAGCACUUCAAUGAAAAAGAAACAAAAAAUUGGAUCACACAGAAAACACAAUCCAGAUGUAUAUCGUAAAUAAAACCUAUCAUGAUAUUGAUGAAUAAUGUUACACUUACCGCCUAUUUAUACUAUUUCUCUAAUAAAGGCAAGACCCGUCAAUGCAUGAAUCUCUAUUAGAGAGAUAGUACAAAUUGGUAGUAAUAGUAGCAUUUUUGGAUAAUGCUUAAUAAUACACAUGAUUGAUUUCAACGAUAAUGCAUUAAAGAUUGCAUAAACCAUAUGCUAUGAUAAAUUAUUUGUACCAUAUUAUAUCGACCUUGAAACUACCAGGUAUGGGUCAACUGCGAAGCACCGUAAAUUGACCAAAGUGUCUGUGCUUCGGAGGCACUUAAGCCGGUAGCACACCGGUGCCCUUCGAUACCUAUUUUACCUUCCUUGCAGGUUGUUACACUAGUCCACCCUUGAUCGGAGCACCCUUGCGAAGGUCUUUACACCACACUUUACGUUGACUCGAGGUCCACCCGGUUUCGUGCAUCAACUUUGGCACCUUCUUGGGAAUCAACACUUCGAAUCCUACUCUGUCUUACCAACUUCGUUAAGGUUUUUUUUUUGGGCAAAUUGAGUUCCAUCAUUCGUACAGUACUCUCCUUUGAUCAAGCAUCAUUCUCCAACAUGGGGAGCGAAGGGAGCCACAACACUCAGAACGACACAUCCGCAUGCCAACCGUGAGACAACCAAAGAAGGAAAGAAAGAAACCAUCUUUCUUUGUACAUAUUAAUAUAUUAUGUGUCCAUGUGUUUAAUACAAAUUUUUUCUAUUACAUAAUUAUGCUUUCCAACUAAAUUAACCAAAGCAGAGGUUUUUAUAUGUUGAGAAAAAUUUAGAAUAAACAACUCUAAAUUUUAUAUGUCAAAGAAGAAAUUCACUCGAAAAUUUGAGACACAACAAAAGACUUUAUUAAACUGAAAAUAUUACAAAGAAAGCUCUCAACUCUCACAAACACUCAACACACUAUAAGACUUCUUGUCUUAUUUUCUUCUUCACUUCUCGAUUUCUUGGUUGCUUGCUUACCACACACACACACACACACACACACACACACACACACACACACACACACACACACCUAUUUAUAGGCAUGUUUGCCGACUUCACUAGCACACCAACAUAUGGCUUUUCAUAAUAGCCACAUAUUGUACAAGCUGCUAGAACUUUCAUGAUUAUACACACACACCCAUCAACUUGAUAAUGCUAGAAUUAUCUAGCAUAUUGUUAUGCUUGCAUGAUGCACCGACUUUGGUGCUUGACUUUUCUGGAUUUGUGUAGAAUGGGCUAGGGUUGGACUCUUUUAACACUCCCCCUCAACACCAGCUCAUUCUUUUCUCCAUGCUAAGUUGACGACGAAACUUUUCAAACUUGCCGGUACUCAAACCUUUAGUGAACAAGUCCGCAACUUGUUCAUCUGUAUUGAUUUGUCUCAUCUCAAUCUCUUCUUGCAAGACCUUCUCUUUAAUGAAAUGGUAGUGUACCUCCAUAUGCUUAGUUCUCGCAUGAAAGACUGGAUUUUUCGCCAAGUGAAUUGCCGAUUGAUUAUCACAGUACAAUGGUACUAAAUAAUCUACUGGUUGAUGUAGAUCACUCAUCAACUGUACCAGCCAUGCAUUCUCUUGAGCUGCCAUUACUGCUGCUCUAUACUCUGCUUCUGUGGUUGAUAAAGACACCGUUGGUUGUCUCUUGCUACACUAAAAAAUUGUUCUGGAACCAAGCUUAAACACAUACCCAAUUGUUGAUCUCCUGGUGUUAUGAUCUCCUGCAUAGUCAGCAUCACAGUAACCAACUAACUUGCAGUCUUCACCUUUCUUGUACAAAAAACCAUAGUCAAUUGUACUCUUCACAUAUCUCAGUAUUCGUCGAACUGCUUCCAAGUGAGGCUUCUUUGGAUUUUGCAUGUACCGACCCAUCACACCAACUGCAUAAGAAAUGUCAGGUCGAGUCAAGGUUAAGUAGAUCAGACUACCUACCAAUUGUCGAUACAUCGUCGCAUCUUCCAAAUCUUUUCCUUCAUGUGCACACAUUUUGGCAUUUGGCUCCAUCGGCGUUGAAAUCAACUUGCAUUCGAGCAUUCCAAACUUUUUCAACAAAUCUUUGGCAUACUUCUGUUGACAGAGAAAUAUUCCUUCUUGUGUGCGAUCAACCUCUAGACCAAGGAAGUGCUUGAGUUGACCAAGUUCCUUCAUCUGGAAACGAACUGAUAAAUUCUCCUUCGUCUGAAGAAUUUCUGCCUCAUCAUCUCCGGUUAUGAUUAAGUCAUCCACAUACACUAGCACGAUAGCUAGCUUUCCUUCAUUGGCUUUGACAAACAGGCUGGAAUCUGCAGGUGUUAGUGAAUAACCACUUUAUGUUAGAAAUUCAGCAAUCUUACCAUACCACGCCCUGGGUGCUUGUUUCAAUCCGUAGAGUGCUUUCCGCAGCUUACACACAUAUUCAGGAUGAUCUUGGCUCCGAAAUCCCAUUGGUUGGAUCAUGUAGAUCUCCCGAUCCAGCUCUCUAUGAAGAAAUGCAUUAUUCACAUUCAUCUGCCACAGAUUCCAGUCUUUGUUAGCUGCAAGUGCAAGUAGGACUCGUACUGUUGUAAGUUUCGCCACUGGACUAAACGUUUCAUCAUAGUCUAGUUCGUACUGUUGAGAGAAACCACGAGCUACCAAUUGUGCCUUGUACCUCUCGAUUGACCCAUCUGGACGUCGCUUUAUCUUGUAAACCCACUUGCAAGAUAUGGGUUUCACAUCUCUUGGCUUUGGCACGAUAUCCCAAGUCUGAUUUUAGUGCAUCAAUAUCUUAUUUCAUAGCUGUCGUCCACUCAGAACUCUGCGAUGCUUCUUCGAACGUCUCAGGCUCUGUUGCUUCUUCAAUUAUGGCUGCAUUGGCGUAUUUAGGAUUUGGCCUUUGUGUUCUUGUUGACCUUCGAAGUUGAGAUUGUGGAGUUGACUUUUCCGUUUCACUAGGCCCACCUUCCUUCGUUUGGUUGUUGAUACACGCCAGUUUGCCAAGGAUUUUGAGCCACUAUUUGUUCAACAUCAUCGCCAUUUGGAUCUCCUGCUUCAUCUGAACUUGGAUGGAGUUGGAUAGUAUGCUCCUCCAUCUUCUGUUGCAGCUUUUCUCCAAAUUCUCUGAAGUCUGGUAGCACCUCCUUCUCUGAGGACCACCAAGAAAACGCUUCAUCAAACACCACAUUUUGUGAAGUGUAACAUCUUCCACUUGUUGGAUCGCAACAUUUUCACCCCUUUCUUUGGCUGUCGUAUCCCACAAAGAUACAUCUAACAGCUUUCUUGUCAAACUUGCUCCAUAAAUGAUUAGGAACAAAUACAUAACAUACAUAGCCAAAUACUCGAAAGUAGCUAACUGUAGGUUUCAUGUUCCACAGUUUCUCAAAGGGCAAAACAAAUCCUAACCUCGGUUGAGGAAGUCUAUUGAUCACAAAGGCUGCAGUCCUUAUUGCUUCAGCCCAAAACCUUCCUGGUACGUUCUUUGCAUAUAGCAUACUUCGAAAAAUUUCUGCAAAAUGCCGGUUCUUUCUCUCAGCUACACUAUUUUGUUGCGGUGUGUUGGCACAAGUGUAUUGAUGACGUAUUCGGCAUUCCCUUAGGUAUUGAGAGAACUCGCUUGAGCUAUAUUCUUCUCUGUUAUAUAUGCGUAUGCAACAGAUCUUCUUUCCCACUUCUCAUUCGGUUUACUCUCUGAACUCUUUAAACUUUGAGAAUGUGUCAGAUUUAUCUUUCAUAAAGAAGACCCCACACAUACCUUGAGAAGUCAUCAAUGAAUGUUACCAUGUACCGCAUACCACCAAUUGAUGGUUGCUUAACUGGUCUGAACACAUCAGAGUGAACUAACUUUAAUGGUUCUUUUGCUUUAAACUUCGAUUCCUCAUAUGGCAAUUGGUGUGCUUUACCAUACUGGCAUCCCGCACAUACUGUGUCUAUUCGCACGUCAAGUUGAGGAAGCCCCUUAAGCAUCGACUUUUUCACCAUCACACUUAGCUUGGAAUAGCUAACGUGACCUAACCGCAUGUGCCAUAGAUCUGAUGUCUCAUUUUUCCUUGUCCUAUCUACAUAUGCAGAUUCUGCUGACAUUACGUAGACUGACUCCAAUCGUCGCCCCUCCAUUGUUGGUAUUUCUGAGAUUUUGAGGUCACGAUACACCUUCACAUAUCGUGGACCGAACAAGACAUAGUGGCCUGAUGAUGUCAAUUGGGCCACAGAUAGCAAAUUUUUUUCAUUCCUGGGACAUGAUAAACAUCUUGAAGUGGCACAUGGUUAGAAUUAUAUCCAGGCGUAACUAUCGUCUUACCGAUGUAAGCUAUCGGUAACUUUGAGUUGUCGGCUGUCACCACCACACGACCUCCCUUGUAUUCAGAUAGGUUUUGCAACUUCUGUUUAUCACCCGUCAUAUGAUUUGAGCAGCCCGAAUCUACGAUCCAAUCAUUUUUGUAGUCAAUCCGUUCUUGUGUUGUUACCGUGAGGGCUAAUUCUUCUUCCUCCAUAGCGAAUAAUGCUUCAGUAUCCCAACCAUCUUCACUAUUCUCCUUUGAACUAGAAGUAGCAGUAUUACUUUCAACAUGCUUUUUCUUGGUCCAACAAUCUUUCGCCAUGUGGCCCAUCUUCCCACAGUUGUAACACUCGCCAUCAAACUUUUUACUAUUACCGCGAUUCUUUGAAGCUCCCCCUGGAUGAGAGCCUCCCUUCCUUGGUGACUUUUCACCUUGUCUUCAUCCUUUUUAGAUCCACCACCAGUGUACUGCUUGAAAGUGCCUUUGCUUUUGCUGGUGUAGAGCGUUUCCUCUUCACCCUUCAGCAAGACUUCUCCCAUUUGCUUGGCCAUAACUUCUUGACCUGCAAGCAAGUUUUCAAAGUCAACAAACGAUGGUUGUGUCGGCCAUCCCUGUAUAGCGGCAAUGAACCCUCGAUAUUUGGGUCUCAAACCAUCGAUAAUUAUUCUCUUCAUCCUGGUUUCCCCAAUAAGAGCUGUUGGAUCUAACUCUGAAAUUUCGCGGCAUAUCGACUUCACCUUGUGAAAGUACUGGGCAAUCGUCGUGUCGCGUUGCGCCAUCAAUAGCAACUCGUUCUCGAAAAGUUGUAAUCUUGUAUCAUUCUUCUUUGAAAAGAGUGUAACAAAAGUGUCCAAUGCUUACUUUGGCGUUUUGGCAUCCCGGAUGUGCUCCAAGAUUUCUUCUUCAAUUGUGGUCUUUAAAGCAAACAUUGCUUUGCUUGCUUUAAUUUUCCACUUUCGCAAGAUGCCAUUGACAUCUUCUGCCGCCGGUUGUGUAACCUCACCACCACCGACAACCUCCCAAAGGUCCUGACCUUGUAAGUAAGACUCCAUACAUGUUGCCCACGUAUUGUAGUUUUUGUUGUUGAGCUUCUUGAUUCCUCCAACUACUUGAAGGUCACCCAUCGUGCCGGCAAGACUUCGACUAUACCGAUCAAGCUUGACUAACAAACUUGCAGAGUACCAAACUCCUCACGACUCAAGAUAGCUCCACCAAGAACGAUCCCUGACCGAACCUGGCUCUGAUGCCAAUUGUUGAGAAAAAUUUAGAAUAAACAACUCUAAAUUUUAUAUGUCAAAGAAGAAAUUCACUCGAAAAUUUGAGACACAACAAAGGACUUUAUUAAACUAAAAAUAUUACAAAGAAAGCUCUCAACUCUCACAAACACUCAACGCACUAUAAGACUUGUAGUUUUAUUUUCUUAUUCACUUCUCGAUUUCUUGGUUGCUUGCUUACACACACACACACACACACACCUAUUUAUGGGCAUGUUUGCCGACUUCACUAGCACACCAACAUAUGGCUUUUCAUAAUAGCCACAUAUUGUACAAGCUGCUAGAACUUUCAUGAUUAUACACACACACCCACCAACUUGAUAAUGCUAGAAUUAUCUAGCAUAUUGUUAUGCUUGCAUAAUGCACCGACUUUGGUGCUUGACUUUUCUGGAUUUGUGUAGAAUGGGCUGGGGUUGGACUCUUUUAACAUUAUAUGCUACCAGCUUUUCGUUUUGCAUAUCUAAGUCCUUAAAUCAGCUUCAUCUCGAACGUGAAACACCAGGAUAGUUUUCCGGCUAACUUUACAUGGUUUGAGAGGUUCUGCAGUAGGUGAGAAAGCUUGGAGUUUUUGAAGUUGCUAUUGAGAAAGACUGGAAGAACGCGUAAGCCAAAAAAAUGAGUAUGGGUUUUAUGCCAUUGAUAAUUCCUCUAUUUAUUCGGACAUUUUAAGAGAAUUAUUGUACAUUCGAUACUACACAGUACAUUAAGAACUAAAGAGUAUUUGAAAAUAAAUAAUACACAAACUUUUGAUAUACAAAAGAAAUGGAUUACAAUUGGAAGCAGUUAAAUUAUUGAACUUAUGAAAGAACAUGGAUCGGGUGGAGCUGAGACUUCGACAGUUCCUUCGAGCAUCAAUGCAACUUUCUUCAUGGUAGGCCUAAGCGACGGAUCCUCCUGAAUGCACCAUAUUGCAAUCAUCACAUACUUCUCCAUCUUCUUGAUGUCAUGCAUUGCCUCAUCGUCAUUCUUGAAUAGCUGGUGCAGAUUAUUCUGCUUAUAGCAAUCGUACGCCCAAUCAGCUAGUAUCAUUUGAUCUUCAUCCUCUGCCGUUGGCUCAAAAUGCUUCCUGCAGAAAAUAAUCUCUAACAACAAAAUUCCGAAGCUGUAAACAUCAACCUUGGCCGUGAUAGGUAACCUAUUAAACCAUUCAGGGGCCACAUAACCUUUCGUUCCCCUGAUGCCAGUCGUGGUUCGAGUCUGAUCCAUUCUCAAAAGCUUGGCCAUUCCAAAGUCAGAAAUUCUUGCCACGAAAGAGUCAUCGAGAAGAAUGUUUUGAGGCUUGAUGUCACAGUGUACAAUUUGGCUGCAGCACUCCUCAUGCAAAUACAACAACCCUCUUGCAAUUCCCAGUGCAAUUUUCCUUCUCUGGUACCAGCUUAGCCUCAACUCUCCAAAAAGGAAGCUUGCUAAAGAUCUGUUGCUCAUGAACUCAUAGACAAGCAUUCGGUGCUCUCCCUCGUAACAAAAUCCAAGUAGCUGUACUAAAUUUCUGUGGUUUGUUCUGCCAAUAGAACUCAUUUCCGCUUUGAAUUCCAAAUCAUUUUCUCCGACCCUAGCGACUAAGCUUUUGACUGCAACGCUCUUCUCAUUAUCAGUAGCUAAAACUCCUUUGAAAACUAUUGCAGAAGCACCGCGUCCUAGUUCAUCCUCGAAUUCGUUCGUAGCGUUUCUUAGCUCCUCGUAAGUGAAAUGCUUCAAAUUCAUAUCAGAGAUGACUGGAUAAUUAGGUUCACUCAGAUUCACUUUUCUAUAAGAAAUACGAGAAACAGCCAAAUAGGUUGUUAAUAGCAAAAUCAAGUUCAGAAACCCCGAGCUACUCAGGAGCACUGAUCCGAUGAGGAUCAAGGUCGAGUAAUCUUUCUUUUUUGUAUUUGGAACUUCAGGUAUAAAUGUAGAGUUGUCUUUCCUUACUUUGACGAGAGCUUUUCCACCAAUACUCGGGUUCAUUCUUCCAUUCGAAAGAGGAAUUCUCUUCUUUUCGCACUCUCCAUCCUUGAAAAUGGCAACGACACAAAAACAAUCGUCUAAGCAAUUCUGUCUGCACCAUUCCUCCGGUACUGAUGUAAAUUGCUCAUAACCACCGCCAGCCCACUCUGUGUUUUGCAUCUCGUGAAAAUCAAAACUCUCUGUCUCCGGCAAGGCCUCAUCACAACUUUGUGAAACAAAGUUUUGCUUGCAUCCUUUCAAGAUAUCAUUGGGAUCAAUAAAUGUGUAGCCAUAAGGACAUUGGCAAGUUGGUCCUUUAUCAUCAUAACUGCAUAGGCUGUUGUAUCCACAUGCACCGCUGCCUGUGUCUCCUCCAAUUCUUAAGCAAAUAUCCGAAGGUUCGGAGGUCAAAGGGGACCAAGCCAUGGGGCUUCCGGCACUUGAGGCAGCAGUUUUAGGAUGAACAGAGUGCCUCAAAACUCCGUCAUGCUCCAGAGUUACUUUAUGGUAGAAAUUUUGCAUGGAAACUGUGUUGGAUGAUACCAUAUUCAGUAUGCUUCCGUUCUUUGCAGUAAGGUAAAGAUAGCCGGACUGAUUGAAGAUGACCUGAAAGCCGGUAGACAUAGUCAUGGUUGCAUAGUAAGCAAAAUUGUUUGUCGGCAGUGGGAAUCUCGUUGUGUAAAGCAAGAGAUUUCCGUCAGAUUGUAGAAUAAACAUGAAUCUUCCCCGUGAGUAGUUUGUUGCCGUGUAGCGCGCAAAGAGUAUGUCGUUCUGAUUUAGAAUCUGUGUAGGUAGUAUUGUAUCCGUUGGUUUAUCAAAACUCUCCCACACAUUGGAUGAACUUCGAUCUGCCAGUACAAAAUUUCCAGUGUCUAGCAUGGAUCCAUAGGCAACUCCAGGACUAACAGAUUGAGCAGACCAUAUGCGCUUGCCGGUAGCAUCAGUGAGCAUAAGCUCGCCACCGAUCGAAAGCUCAACUUUGGAUCCCUCUGGCACUAGAUUGUCCCCAUUGGCUGACCAGACAAUAGUUUUAUCUUUUAUCUUAUCGAACCAAAUGGCUAGUAGGAACCCAUCUUUUCCGAUUCUUUGAAAACCGAAAGCAAAGUCGCCAGAUGGCGAUUUCCAUGAUGAUGAGUUAUCAUCAUUUAGUGCAGUGAGAGAUGAACCUAAAGAAAUGUUUUGGAGGUUUGAGCUAGGGUGGAAAAUGGUAGAAACAUGAAAAGGAAGAAGAAGGGAAGAUUUAUCAGUAGACAAGCCAUGGGGAAAUUACAAAGGUGACGAAUUUUUUUUUCAAAUAAACUAUAUUUUCUGCGUCAAUCACUUGCAAUUUUUUGUUUCAUCUUCUUCAAGUAUGAAAUAAAAAACUUGGAUGAUGGACGAUGAUGUGAUUUCUUGUGCUUAAAUUAGAGGAUCAAACCGCAACAAAGUCAACAAUGAGCUCAUUUUCGUCAAUGGUUCAAUUGACUCUGAUUCCAAGUCUUUUUUUGGAUUCUUCACGGGCAUUACUUGGAAACUGUCUUUUGACUCUUUCAAACUUUAUGUACUUCGUUCAAUUUCUGCAUAGCGUGUAAGAUAAUUUAGUUUUCUGAGUUUUCCGUGAUGCAUUGAUGAAAGUUCAAGACACUAAUAAAACUUUUCAAAUGAAAAUUGUUACGGAUUUGAAGAAAUCAACUUACUUAUAAGCCAAACUUACAUAUAAAACAACCAAUUAUCAAUUGGAGGAGUAACUCAACUUGCAUAUAAGUUCAUGUAAUGUCUCUUUUCUCAUCAAGAAUGUGGAUUCAUUCUCAAUACACUCUCUCACGUGUGGCGAAUUUUAAAGCCAAUCACGUAGACAACACAAACAUGAAGACGUGGAGCGCGUGAGGUCGUUGCGCUUCACACGUUAGACAACCUGUUAUGAUACCAUGAAGAAAAUUGAGGUUCCACUAUAAAACUAAUUGGCAAUGUGAGAACCAACUUAAUUAUUAGUCUAUACAAGGUCCCUUCUUUCAUUCAGAUGAGAUUCAUUCUCAACGUAAUGUUCCUAUCGAGAGAGGUAAAAAUAUAUGAACUAUCAAAUCAUAUUAGUCUAUUUUGCAAAGUGCAGAUGACCAAAUUUGGUUAUUUGAUGUACUGUGCAGAGUGACAAAUCAUAUUACUCUAUUUUGUCAAGAAUAAAAUUAUAAUAUUAACUAUCAAAUUUACUCAACUAAAUGUCAAAGUGCACAUGCGAUAAGUAAGGUGCGUAUGAUAUAAAAUUUGAGUUAAACCAAAUUAACAAAUAUUUAAUUUGAUGAGCAUGUUUUUUACAAUAAUUUAUAUUCCUAAGAUAUAUACAUAUUUGACGGAAUUGGAUCCCCUCCUGAGCAAAUGGUGGGGAUCCUCAUGACCCACUAACAAGGACCGUUGAAUUUUGAUCUAACGGCUACAAUUAUUAUAACUUUAGAGGAACCCCUUGUUUGUAGCCGUUGAAUCAAAAUCCAACGGUCCAUGUUAGUGGGUCAUGAGGAUUCCCACUAUUUGCUCAGGAGGGGAUCCAAUUCCACAUUUGACCUUCUUGUUACAAAUUUAUACGUAGUGCGUACGCAAUUCACAAUCUUGAAGGAUUUAUUGACUGAUUCAUGUUGAAUAGGUCGCUGUUGGAAUAUAAGUAUAGGUUAGGUCAUAGUCAUCACUUUAUCUCUAGUUGUGAGAUUAGUUGUGGUCACCACCUUACUUUACUCAAGUUGUAGUCAACAACUUCUCUUCCUUGAUGUAGGGCUGCAGUCUUGUUUUAUCUAAUUAGUUUUGGUCCAGCAAUUAGGGCAUAAUUUUGGUAAUGGUUCUCCACCAAGUGAACGCAUUCUUUUCGGAUAGUCACCACUCGUCAAUGGGUCUUUAAACCUACAAAACAGGGAAUUUCCAAGCAUAAUAUCAUUUAAUAUUUUUUUGGGAACUUUAACUAAAAGCACCUGGUACUGUUCACUUUAACGAAAAACCACAUUUUUACACUAAAAAAUCAAUUCUGGUACUAUUCACUUUACCCUUUAUUUUGUCCUUAUCAUUAAAAUUCAAAGUUUUCAAGCCCUUUUUCAUUAGCUUUAUAAACUACUGCUAGCUAUCCAAUUAAUAAAUAGAUUUUUUUUUAAAAUAAAUAGACGUUAAUUCAGUUGAUAUAUAAAUUGCUAUACAACUUGCCAUCCAAACAUAAAAUUCAAAGACCAUGAGGCAGCAUCUUUAUCAUGGUGUGAAUCUAAAGCAGCCUUAAUCCAGUGUGUAUUCGGUGCCAUUUCUAUCACGCCUUUUUAAAUUGGCAACAUAGAGCAUGAACUUUGCGUUUUUUAAAAGGAAAACUAAUGAAAAUGGCUUGAAAACUUUAAAUUUUAAUGAUAAGGACAAAAUAAAGGGUAAAGUGAAUAGUACCAUGAUUGACUUUUUAGUGUAAAAAUGUGAUUUUUCGUUAAAGUGAACAAUACCGGGUGCUUUUCAUUAAAGUUCCAUUUUUUAAAUACAACAGGAGUGGGCUAUAUGCUCAUAGGCCUUUGUGAGGCGCACCUAUGAGCCUGAGGUGCGUUUGAGGAGUUGUCGAGGAGUCGUCUGGGCUUUGGCCUAAAAUGAUGUUGUUUUGGGCAAGGUUUUUAUAAAGAUCAAACUCGUCGCUCUCAUCUCAUAGUCUCACUUCGUGAAGGCAUGAAAGCACAUACAGGAGUGACGUCGUCAACCUCUCCAGUCUUCUCCCACCUUUCUUUACUUCAAAAUUUCAAGUCUCAAGAUCAUUAUUGCUUUAGGUUUAAACCUUGGAUAUUAAUUUGACGUGGAUUGUCUUGACUUUUUAUUUUUUAUUUUUAUUUUUUUAUGAAAGCAACGAUAUUGAUUCAUUGAUAAAAGAUCAGUACAAAAGGGGAAGCCGGAGCAAACAUGAGCUUAGGCAUUACAUUCAGAAAAUAGAAUAUCAUUGAUAAUGUCUGGUGGUUCCUCGAACCACGAACAAUUGCAAGAACUGGAUUGUCUUGACUAUUAUUUGAAUUUUAUGUUUGUUUUUUGCUUAAUUGUUUGAAUGACAAUGAAUAUUUGUUUUACAUGAGUAUCGCCUAGUGUGAUGAUGGUGAUUGUUGAUUUGAAUUUUAGGUACCUAAUAACAUAUGUAAAACAAUACUCACGGUACAUAAUCAAAGCGCAAAAUUAUAUGGGUGCGUUUAUUGUAUCGGACUAUCUGACACGCCCCGAUCUCGAUAUCUCCAAAUAUCAGGAUAUGCAAGUGCUAACUGACACCCGAGGGUGACGAAACCAUUUUAACAUGCAUGCAAAUUAAAAUAUGUGAUAAAAAAAGAAGGGCAAAAGACUGUUUACUACCCUCAUGUUUCGUGGUUUUCAACAUUUAGUACAUCAAUUUUUUUUCGUCUCAGAGUCAUACCUAAAGUGUAAAUUUUGGGACAGUCUCAUACAUCCGUUAGUCAAACUGUUAACUCUGACAUUAAAUGAUGACGUGGCGCCCACGUGGACAAUAAUUGGGCGCCACGUGUCAUUAAAAAAAAUUAAAAAAAAUUAAACUAUUAAAAUAAUUAAUUAAAUAAAAGUUAUAAAUAAAUUUUAAAAAAAAUUCCCCAGAUUCUCUCUUCCCCACCCGAUCCCCCUCCCUUCUCCCUCUGCACCUUUGCACAUCUUUCCCCCUAUGGACCUCUGCUCAUCCAUCAUUCCCCAAGUCCCUCUGCACCUCUAUCCUUCCCAGAACCCCUUCGUCUUCCGCGACACACACACCCACAACCCUUCGUCUUCCUCCACGGCUCCACGGCUCCACCCCUCCACCUUCUCCUCGUCUUCCUCCAUGGCUCUACCCCUUCCACAACCCCAGCGUGGGCUCGCCCUCCAGCCGCAGUGAGUAGACCAUGCCCACGCCUGCCAGCGACAACAGUUUUCUUCGAUUGAACCAUCCCGACGUUCACGGCGAUGACGCUAGCUCCCAAGGCGUCGUUGGGUCAGUCACUUCCUUCCCUCAUUUCUUUUUGCUUCAGGUCUUAUUAGGGCGCAACAAACAUAUUUUCCUUUUCAUUUGGACACUUUCUCUGUGAUUUUCUCGGAAGCCAAACGCUCUCAACGAUGGCCGAUCAGCUCAUCGAUGACCAGAUCUCCGUGUUCUAGGAGGCGUUCAGCCUAUUCGACAAGGACGGCGAUGGUCUCGUUCUCAGAUCCCUCUUUCUCUCUUUCCCUUUUGUUCUUAUUAUGCCUAAUUAAUCUAUGAUAUUUGGAUCUAAAGCUGUUAUUGCAUCAAACCUUAAUAUUUUUUUGGUGAAAAUUUGUGAUUGAUUGAGUAUUUUUCAGAGAUUGAAUUGAUUUAUCAUCCUUCGAGUGCGUUUUGAUCGUUGAGGAUAAGAUCUGUUAGAUUUGAGGUUAAAUGUGUGGAAUUUAAAUAUAUGGAUAGAUCAUGAUUCUCAUAUUUGUUUCCCCAUUGUUUGGAUUAUCCAAUUUUUGGUAAAAGUGGGUUUUUAAUUCAAUUUCUCUGCUAUGGUCUACUCACUGCGGCUGGAGGGCGAGCCCACAUUGGGGUUGUGGAGGGGGUGGAGCCGUGGAGGAAGAUGAAGGGUUGUGGGUGUGUGUGUUGCGGAAGACGAAGGGGUUUUGGGAAAGAUGAAGGUAUAGAGGGACCUGGGGAAGGAUGGAUGAGCGGAGGUCCACAGGGGGAAGGAUGUGCAGAGGUGCAGAGGGAGAAGGAAGGGGGAUCGGGGUGGGGAAGAGAGAAUCUGGGGAAUUUUUUUUAAAAUUUAUAUAUAACUUUUAUUUAAUUAAUUAUUUUAAUAGUUUAUUUUUUUUAAUGACACGUGGCGCCCAGUCAUUGUCCGCGUGGGUGCCACGUCAUCAUUUAACGGCAGAGUUAACAGUUUGACUAACGGAUGUAUAAGACUGUCCCAAAAUUUACAUUUUAGGUAUGACUCUGGGACAAAAAAAAAUUGAUGUACUAAAUGUUGAAAACCACGAAACAUGAGGGUAGUAAACAGUCUUUUGCCCAAAAAAGAAAUAUACUAAUGCAGAACCGUGUUCAGAACAUACAACUAAUCAAGAAUAAUGUGAAAAAUUUAUUAUGAAAAGGUACAAACCAAGGAAUGGGUCCUACACAGAGAAGACUCGAAGAUACCUAUACAGAAGUGUCCUAUGCAGAAGUGCCCUGACGCUGGGAUCGUGUGCCUCGAUUCUAACUCCUAAGGGGGCGGGGCGCAAAACAAAAGGGUGAGUGGACCAAAAUUUAUAAUAAUAAUAUUAAUAAUAAGAAAAUCAUUUUCUUUUUUAACAUACUAACCCCUUGUUUUGAAAACACAUAUAUAGUACUACAUAGUAGGUUUUUUGAAAACUAUAACAUGCCAUGAAAACAUUUAUAAAACAUAUACGUGUAAAACAAUGCUAAAAAAUGGUGAUAUCGCCGCCCAAAGGUAAAUCCAUAAAUCUCAUCAAUGAUGUACUCACUAGGAGUAUCAUAGUCACCCGAAGGCAUAACAUGUCCAUCAUCCGAAGGUGAAGCUGUACGACACUGGGUUACGCCAGUGACGAAACAUGGUAGGCCCUAUCACCAGUAGGUGAAGCUGUACGACUCUGGGUUAUGCCAGAGAAGAAACAUAUACAUAUAACAUCACACACCGACACUAGCCAUGGCUAGUGUAGCUGUUCGACACUGGUUUCACCAGUGAAGCUGGGGGUAUAGCAUAAAUAUCAUCAAAUGUGUUCUAUGGCCAUAAACGUCUACAUACCCGUGUUGUGUGGAUGUGCUGUAUGAUAACCCACUAGAUAAGCACCGAAAACAUACCUCAAAAAUCUCAUAUCAAAUUUGGAGCUCAAAAGCUCAAAGUCUCAUCUCAUAACUGCAUAAAUAAAUCAUAUUCGUAAAUCCAUGAAUUUCAGAGACGAAAAUCCAAUAAUUCAUAAUAUUUGGUAAAACUUAAUUUCGAUAAAUCAUAAAUAAUGCAUAAAAGCAAUAUUAAUAAAUCAUGAAUUCUUCAUAAAGCAUAAAUCCAGAAAUCCGUAAAAUAUAUCAUAAAAUGUAAUCAAGUCAUAAAAUAUGAAAUGCAUGCAAGCCUAAUAUUUUAUAAAAACAUGCAAGUUUAGAAGGGCUCCACUCAUAGUAUUCCAUUGUCGAGGAGCCACUCGAACUAGCGAGGACAGUGUCACUUCCCACCGACGUACCUAAACACAAAUAGAGGCCAUUUAAUAAAACUCUACUAAAACGAUAGAAUUUAGGAAAAUGGACAGUGGAUUUGGACUCGGCACAUCGAAAAACCUAAAGAGGGACCUUGGGUUCCCCCACGUAUCUCCACGGGGCGGCGGCCCAGACGACCACGCGCCACUGCAAGUGCCGAGAUAGGUCGCUUGAAAAUUCACCGGCGGCGCCGUGGAUGGCGGUGGAGCAUAAAACCUUCAGUGGAGACGUGUGUGCUCCACACGUUGCUGGGUUGGGUUGGGUCGGAUCCGGGUUUUGGGUUGCUGGGUUGGGCCUGAGUUAUUGGGUUAAUGGGUUGGGUUACAUGGCCCAAAUGUUUGGGCCAGGUUAUUGGAUUGGGCCCAUCAGCUGGGUUGGGUCGGUUUUGGGUUGCUGUUCGGGUUGACCCGGUCCCCAUCGCAGGUCUGGUUGUCGAUUUCUAGCUGGUUUGGCUGGGAUAAAUUCCCGAGCUUCGAUAGAGCUCGAUCUUUGACCAUUUCACUCCAAAAUUAAACCAAAUAAAGAUGAAAAGACGAGGGAGUCGAAUCUACCUUACCCAAGUAAAAUAGGUGGUCGAAAAGGGCUGAUAAUCGAUUGCAAAAAUCACGUCAGUGGCCGUAAAACCGAGGGAGGUCUUCCCGAGUUGAUUUAUGCGUUAGAUUGUCACCAAAACAUGUAUACAACUCAAAAAUUGAAUCAAAAUGUCAAAGAGGAAAAGAUCGAAGGUAUUUUCGAGUCUUACCCUGCCAGAAAGAUUUGAGAACUCGCUGGAGUUCUCCAUCAUCUGUUUCUCCGGUUUAAGUGUGGGCAUGAGGGUUUAGUUUAAAUUUCUUGUUUUGGGGAAAGAGAUGGGACAAACUGGGGGUGAUGGUGAUGUGGCUCGCCUGCGGUGCAAAGAAAGGAAUGAAAAAGCUAAGAAAAUGUAUGAGAGAGAGAGAAAACUUUGAGAGUAGAGAGAGAAAAGUCACAGGAGAGAAAUGAGAGGGAGAGAGUUCCAGAAGAUUAGGGACCAAUCUGUGGGUCCCACGUGGCACACAACCCCAAUACAACAUGUGUUUCAAAUGAAAAUUGACCAAAAUACCCUCGUCAUUUCAAGCUUCAUAAAAUCUUCGUUAUAAUUUCGAAUUACGUUCCGCUUGCGCCCACGCGUUUGUAGCGACGAGUACUACAAUGAUACGCCAAAGAAACGAAUCUUACGUGAUACGAGGCGGUCAACAAAAGUUAACAUUUUUGCCUCAGAUGGCAUUUUGGUAAAUUCACACAUUAAAAUAAAUAAAUAAAAGAAAUAUUUGAGGACGGGUCGUUACACUAUCUUAGACUGGAUUAAUUUCAAUGACUAGGAUGGACUGCCUUAGAAUAAAAUAAGUUGUAUUAAGUUAGUGAAACAUUUGGUGCAGUGUCGAACUAAGAAGCAAAAUAAAGAAAUAGCUAUAAAUGUCGGAAAGAAAUAGGGGCUUUUGAGCUCUCAAAGACACAGAGUGAAAGAAACUCUACUAGUUUUCGGACUUUUUGCAACCACAACAACAUAUCGUUGAAAUUAGAAAACUAGAAAAUCCCCAGAUGAAAAGUUCACUGCUUGGAUUCCAAAGAUCAAAAGAGAGAGUUGUGCUUCGAAAAACCCAAAUCAAUCCAAUUCUCCUACAGAACUUUGCAAUUCGUUUUUACCUUCGAACCUCAAUCUUCGAUGCCAGCCUUUGAACUUUGACUUUUGGACUUUUAGCCCUCUCCAUUGGAGAUGGCCUAAGACCUUCUAGCCAGGCCCUUGGUCGACGUGAAUCCUAGCUAAUCUCAUUAAAGCUAACCCGUGCGAAUAACAAACACGAAACUAGACUGAUUUUUAACCCGGUCUAGUCCAAUGAAGACUAACGAGUGCUAACAAACGCAACCUCUAAUUCCUAGAAGUCCAUGUCUGUUGUAUUAUUUUGUUUGUUAUCUACUCCUAAAGUCAAAUCCAAGACUAAAACAUUAAAGAAUCUUUAGACGACUUUGAAGCCAUUAAUAUAUUGUACACAAAAUCAUAAUAUGUGUAUACACACAUAUGUACGCCAUAGGAACAUGUUGUGGAGUAAAUAAGCUUGCAGCUUCUUAAUACGCGUAUGCUGUAUAUGUCUACAUACAUACGCUUGGAUGAAAAAAGCUGUGAGUAAUCUAAAUCUAAGAUGGGUCAUCCAAUUUCUCAUGGCUUCCUUCUCAUCCUCUUAUUUUCUUCCAUUAUAUUUACAAAGCAUGCAUGCGAUCUAGCCGAACGUAACGCUCUCUCUUCCUUGUUAAUCACUCAGUCUUCCCCUCCAUUAAACUGGACUGCUUCAGUUGAUUGUUGCCAAUGGGAAGGCAUCACUUGUGAUCAGGGAGGUCGGAUCAUCCGAUUGCAGUUGCCAUCCAAAGGCCUCAAAGGAGGUAUGUUUCUCUCAUCGCUAAAAAACCUGACGCAUCUUUCGCACCUCAACCUCUCCCACAAUCUGCUUUCCGGUCCUGUGGAUGCUGGGCUCUUUUUGGCCUUGAUUCAUCUUGAGAUCCUUGAUUUGAGUUUUAACCUUCUCUCAGGCCAAAUAUCUUCCUCAAUCUGUUUUAAUUCUUCUUUGGUUCGAGUCUUGGAUUUCUCCGACAAUGAUUUCAAGGGUUCGAUUCCUCUCGGACUAGGAAAUUGUUCCAAAUUGGAAGUCUUUCGUGCAGGCUUUAAUACUCUCUCCGGGUUCCUUCCUAGUGAUAUCUACAAUGCUCAAACACUUCAAGAAAUUUCAUUACCUUACAAUAAGAUUUCCGGCCCCAUUGGUGAAAACAUUCUAAACCUUACCAAUCUCAGAAUCAUGGACCUCUCCUUUAAUCAGGUGAGGGGCAUACUUCCCCUCCAUAUUGGGAAGCUCUCCAAAUUAGAGCUCAUGCUGCUUCACUACAACAAUCUAGAAGGUCCGCUGCCCCUAUCAUUGUUGAAUUGCACAAACCUUAUUGAACUAAAUCUGGGCUUCAACCGUUUUAGUGGGAAUAUCUCUGCACUUGAUUUCUCGAAACUUACUGAACUUAGUAAACUCGAUUUUGUAUAUAAUACGUUCACUGGUAUCUUUCCGAUAAGCCUUUACUCAUGCAAAUCCCUCAAAGCACUUCGACUGGCUACAAAUGAUCUUGAAGGGCAAAUACAACCUGAGAUUCUUUCAUUGAAAUCCUUGUCCUUCCUCUCGCUUUCUGAAAACAGAUUCACCAACGUUAAGGGGGCAAUGAAAAUACUGAAGCAUUUCAAAGGUCUAAGGGUACUCCUCCUUUCUAAAACUUUUCAAGGUGAAGAAAUGCCGGACGGGAAUAUCAUUGUUGAUUAUGGGUUACAUAAUCUCUGUGUUUUCAGUUUAUAUAGCUGUCACUUGACAGGUCAAGUACCUGCAUGGAUCUCGAAGCUCAAGAAACUGGAAGUCCUGGAUUUGUCUUUUAACAGACUCACUGGUUCAAUACCUGGUUGGUUGGGGAAUCUUCCAAGUCUUUUCUUUGUAUGGUUGAAUAAUAACUUGAUUUCAGGUGAAUUUCCGAAGGAGCUUUGCAGACUACAAGCAUUGGUAUCGCAAUAUGCUCCAAAUCAAACAGCCCAGGGUUAUCAUUUUGAGUUUCCCAUCUACUUCCUACGCGAUGAUAAUUCAUCUUUACAUUCUUCACAGUACAAGUAUCCAUCCAGCAUGCCAAGAGCAAUCUCCCUCAAGAACAACAGUCUAAGUGGCAAUAUACCCUUUGAGAUUGGCCAAUUGCAAUAUCUUCAAAAAUUGGAUCUUAGCGUCAACAACUUCUCCGGCAAUAUUCCAAACCAAAUAUCAAACCUCAAAAACUUGGAGACAUUAGACCUCUCAAGAAAUCAUCUAUCUGGCGGAAUCCCAGCAUCACUGUCAAGUCUUAAUUUCUUGGCUUCAUUUAGUGUUGCGUACAAUAAUCUAGAAGGAUCGAUACCAACCGGCACGCAGCUCCAAGGCUUCGGUGCCACCGCCUUUGAGAGUAACCCUGGACUUUGUGGCUCCCCGCUUCCAAACGAGUGCGGACAGAUGAAUACAAGUAAUAAUACAACUGAGAACAUGGAAGAUGUAAAAGGAAAUGGGAAUGAAAUUCCAUGGUUUCGUAUUUCUGUGGCUCUUGGUUUCAUUGUAGGAUUUUUAGGAGUUUGUGGCCCUUUAGCUUUGAGCCGGUCAUGGCGAUAUGCAUAUUUUCAGUUUCUCUCCAAUGUUAAAGAUCACUUUGUGUGCUAAUCAAGUGUAUUUUUCUUUGAGAAAUAAAAGAUAUAUUAAUUAUCCACAUAUAGCUGCUGCAUACCAACAAUCUAACUUUCCUAAAGUUUGGAUUAGAAACCAUAUUAGACGAGUUUUCAAGGUAAUUAACGUCAUACGUAAAAUUCUACCAUUCAAUGACUUAGGGUUUUGUCAGGAUCGACUACUCAGACUUUUGAGCAUAAUCACUUGUAAGUUCAGUUGCAGUCCGUAUAAACUUCCUACACUAGCUAGCAUUCUUGUAUGAAAACUUACACAAGAACCAGGAAGUUUUGCCAGAUCAAUUUAGGGAAUGUGUGUACGUACCUUUUCAGGUAUAUGAACUAGUUUUCAAGAUGACUACUUUACUUUUUCAUUCCUGCGUUGGUAAAAAUGAAAGGUUAGAAUAAUAAUAAUAAUGUCGUUAAUGUAAACACACUUUACAUACCCAUUUCUCAUAAGUAAACAUGCCGUUAACGUCUCCGUUGCCCCUGGAAAAAUUCUCUUCUUCAGGUUUGACGACAUUGUAAGAAAUCAGAAUAAACCCUUUAACCAGGUAAAACAGUGUAAAGGCAGAUCAAUUAAUUCCAAAGUUCCAUGACUUUAGUCCUACGUACCUCAUAAUUAAGGUCUCUUGUUUCUUAUUUUAUUCUCAGUGCCAUUUCUAAAUGCAAAAGACUAAAACAUUAAAAAAAUAAAGACGACUUUGAAGUUAUUGCAGACAAAAGCAUAACUUAUACACCAUAGGAAACAUGUGGAUGUGUGGUGGUGGGCAAGAAACUUGCAGCUUAACAAUAUUUUUCUUUCUGAUGCUUCUUCUUAGAGGUGCUUUUAGUCCUUGCCUCCAGAAGAUGUCUAAACAAACAAUGAUUAAGUCAUAUUUUAGGAAGGCCAUUAUGUAUCAGAAAAUUAUUAAUUUAUAGGGUGAAGUGCCGAUUUAGUCCCUGAACUAUCACCUUGGUGAAAAUUAGGUCCCUGAAUUAUUUUUUUCCGUAAAAUAAGUCCCUAAAUUCAUUACAAAUUGCUAAUUUCAUCCCUACUAUUAUAUUCAAAGCUAUUUUAUCCAAUUUUUCGUCAACUUAAGUCACUUGACACACUUUAAAGUGUAAUACCAUCAUUUUCUUGUCUAUAAGCCCUUAACAUUUCAUAUAGGUUGUGAAUUUAAUGUCUAAUUUACCCUCAAAAGUUAACUUACACUAUUUCUUUAUGAAAAACUAUCAAUUUAUCCUCCAAAGUUAACUCCAUACAUUAUUUCUUUAUGAAAAACUAUCAAUUUACCCUCUAAUGUGUAUCACAUGCAAGUAACGUGACUUAAAUUGACGAAAAAUUGAAUAUAGUAACUUCGAAUAUAACAUAAGGGAUGUAAUUGGCAGAUUUUUAUAAUUCAGGGACUAAUUUUUCUGAAAAAAAUAGUUUAGAGACCUAAUUUUUACUAAGGUGAUAAUUCAGGGACUAAAUUGGCUGUUUACCCUAAUUUAUAUGUUACUAAAACCUAAUGAAUUUUUUAUAAUGUAUUCUUUGUAAAUUAGGCUAAUUAUGAAUUUAACACGUUACCCCUAAGUUGGGACCAGCCAAAAUAUAAUUUAAUUGAAAUUAUCAAUGUAAUGGGUAUAAAGUUAUCGAGGUUCUAUUGUAAAAAUACAUGUGUUUGGUAUAUUUUUACUUCAACUGUCUUAAAAAAUAAAGUGUUUGGGGGGUAAUAUAUACACUGAACUUUUUGGAACUUUCUGCACACAUUUAUAUAUACUAAAGCUUAGCAAAAAAUCACUGUUCAUCAUGUGAGUAGGAGCACUGUUCACCAACAGUGAAAGGGCGGAAAUGCCCUCAGUUAGUUUCUUUGAUUCCAACUUUGCCCCUAUUUCUUUGUUGUCAAACGGAGAACAAAAUGGGACGCGUGGGUUUUCGCUGCUUCUUCCCUCUCUCUCUUCGACUCAAUGUUCAUCCUUUCCACUGCUUCAAUCUUGCUCUCACGGUUUCAUUCCCUUUUAAUUUUCUUCUCUCAUGGUUUCGUUGCUUUCUUUCCACCGCUUCAAUCCUCCUUCAACUGGCUGCAGGCUCUAUCAAACCCUAGAAAUCAUUUUGCUUUUUUGGGCACCCUCCUUUUUCUCCAUGCUCCUUGCUUUCCCCAACCUAGAAUCCUCCUCCUUUCCCCGAAAGACAAAUCUUAAAUCCGCAACCCAAAACUCAGUCAUAGUUGCCCAACCAAGGUAGAUUAAUUGAAGAAAUAUUGCUCCAUCAGAGUAUAUUCCAUUUAACUUGGUAGAGGUAAAUUGUAGUAAAGUAGGUUACCCUCUUCAUCUCUUCAAAUAAAUUUGAUUAUCUAUCAAUUUCCCUGAAAUUAUUUUUGGUUUCAUGUGUGUGUGUGUGUGUGUGUGUUUUUUUUUUUUUUUUUUAAUUUACAGGGUGAUCUGUACGAUCACGCUAGCUUGGUGAAGGCGAUUGAGCAAGUCGACGUUAAUCCGCAAUAUUCCUUACCAUUUUUACUAUUUUAGAUUCUGGGUUUUGUUUGGGAAUCAAAUGUAUGGUUUGUGUUGGUGCAUCAAUCUCACUGAUUACAGUCAGUUGCAGAUGAAGCAGCUAGCUAGCUUUCACCAGAAAACAAAACAAGGUAGCAUUCACCUUCUUCUCCAUCUUUCCAAGCUAAUUAAUUAUACUACAAAUUACAGAGUAAAAGUCCUCAAUUUAUAAUUUAUGGUUUCAUAUAAUAGAUAUAUAUACAACUCUUAACAAAUGGAUGAGUUCUUUAUAUCUGAUCAGCAGGAUUUGAAGUCCUCGGAUAGUCAAGUCCAACUGGAUCGAUCUGCGCUCAUAUGUUAAUUUGAGUAUGUGCUCCUGAAUGAUGAUAGAGUAAUUAUUGUCAAUUAGUUGGUUUGAUCCUGCCCUCAGUCUAUAAGUUUUGGAUGUCAAGAAUGUAUGAUGUUUUAUGCGAAAAAAAUACUUUAAACAUUCUCAAAAACUUGAUUAUUGUGAAACUACACACACCAAAACCAGAUCAUAUAUGUAAUGAAUAGAGCAAAAUUUUAAGCAAACAAAUUGAGUAUGUUAUGAAUAGUAUUUUAUAUUCAAUAAAGACACAAGUCCUAUAGGACAGUGACUGUUUGCUUUUAGUAGUCCUUGAAGUUAUAGCUUGCUGAUUCGUUCCGCUAUUUCGUUUAUUGUGUAAUUAUUAUCAUUUUAGAACUUAGCUGUUUCAUUCUUUCUGCUUAUUUCAUGCUCAAUUUCAUCCUCAAUUUCUCUGUUUCAUUCUUUCUGCUUAUUAUCAUUUUAGAUGUCUGCAUUUAUAAAUCUUAUUUUAAAGGGGAUCAAGAAAAUAAAACAAGCGCCCCGGGCAACUGACAUCUAAUGCCAUGUAAAUUUACUUGCACUUUUGUAACGGAAUGAAGAUAGAUCCUAUCCGAAGUUUAUUACCUUUUCAGUUUAAUAAGAAGAUCAGAGUCUGUGUAUGCAGAAUUUGGAGACCUAAGGUUAUAGGAAAGGAUAAUACGUUUGGCGGUCUUCAAUGUAUAUUCAUUGACGAAAUGGUAAGAAUUUUGUGUUUUUAGGUUUUUAGUUUUAAAUUUUGGUUAUGAUUUCAAAAUUUUGCUCUGAUGUGUAUCAUUUUAUUAGUACAUGCUAAAAUUACAGGUUUUGUUAAUGCUGAUGACAGAAAUCAAUCCCAGUUCAAAAUGAAAAGAUAUGGUAGUUUUCGUUGUUGCAAGAACUGAAAACUUAGUACUCUUUCUCUAAGUUUCCCAUUUUUAAAAUUCAGAAACAUGGUUAGUUUUUUAUACCUAUUUUGUGACGAUUCACUAAGAAUUGUUAAUCGUUUUAAUACAUAUGAGAUAGGAUUUCUAAAUGAGUAAUUCUCUGGUUUGAAUGUUAUGUGCUUGGGAGUGUAAAUUUGGAUUUAUAAAUGGGUUUUUUGUUCAAAUAUUUUGGUUGUGAUUUUGGGGAUUUUGUUUGUAGCUUCGGAUUCUGGCUGAUGAUGGUUAAUUUGGUUUUGUUUUCGGUUUCAGGAGAUCGGAUUUUUCGAAUUUGUGACUUUUCUUUGAAGCCUGCGAAGACCUCUGUGUUUGAGGUGGGUGCUUUUGGCAUUCCACAGGUUUGAUUCAACUUGCAGCUUGAGGUGUGAUUUUAUUUUGUUGUUAAGUAUUUUUGGAUUAAAACUAAGAGCUUUGAUUUAAGUUUGUAGUUUUGAAAUUCAGUUUCAAGGGUGUUCAAAUUCAGGACAAGAAAAAUUGUAAUGAUCCCCAAGAACAUAGGAAGUAAAAAAUUUUGAUGAUUAGCUUUUGAAAUUUCAUUUUUCCCAAAUCCAUAUCGACAUGGGUAUAAUAUACAAGCCUUCCUCAUAUAGAUAUAUCUUCAUUUAAUGCACUUGGAUGCUUUAAUUUUUUAUGAACAAUAGUUUUGGCUGAACAAUUUAUAUGUGCAGAGUAAUGAAAUUUAUCAUUGGUGUCAGUGGCAUUCAAACACAUCUAUCUAAUGAAUGACUGAAAGGAUGGAUAUAAUAUGAAUUUUCUUUUUCAUUUCAAUGCAAUGAUAAGGUAGGCUUAAGCGUUGAACUGGGUUCCUUUGCGGUUGGACUAAUUAUAUCAACUACUGAUCUCAUAUGGUCAAGAAAUAUAUUAGCUGUCAUUAUACUCGAGAGAAAUUAAGUACAUGGACAACGUCAUUUGUCCUCUUUGUUUAUUUAUUUUUAAUUUAUUUUCCCCCUCAAUUUUCUGCCAUGCCAUUUCAUUUGGUUUUUUAUUUUCCUACAGGUUUUCAUUUGAAGGGAAAGUAUUGCAUUCUUAUGAAUUCUACGUCGCUACUCAGGUUUAUAAUUUUUUUUUUCUUUCCUUGCUCAUGCAUUAUUUUCUUUUUGCUGCAUAUUGAUAUUGAGUUCUGUUUGGAAAUGCCUCUGUUUUUUUUUUUUUUGUUCACUUGCUGAAAAUGUCUCUACCAAAAUUUUAAGGGCCUUUUCUUUGUUUCUUCUUAUCUUCCUCAUUCCUUGUCCAAUUAUAAAGCAGUUUUACGUUUUUGUUGCUAUACAGAGCUUUCCUUUGUCCAAUUAUGCCGAACGCAACUCUUUCUAAUUUAAAUGGACUCUAUUUCUUACACAUUGUAUCUGAUAGAGCAGAUGAAAAAAGAGCGAAAAACGGAUUGUAUAUGCUCCCUCACUAUCAUAAGAGAACUGUCUUAGCUUUUGGUUAUGUGUCCCCCAUUUGUUUACUUAUAUGUUCUACUGUUUUGAGUUAAAUUUAACAUACCAUCCACACUAAGAGCUCCAUACAGAGAAAAUCCAUAAGAGAAAAUUGAAAAAUCCAUUUUUUCUAGAAUAGCAAAUUCCAUUUCCAGCUUACUUUAUAUAUUACUCUACAUAUGUAUGAGUACAACAUUGUACAUCAAUGUCUUCUCUAUGUUAACUUUACAUGUUACUCAUUUGUAUGUUGUUGCUCUCAGACUUCAUAUAAUCCUCAUUCGCUUUUUAACACUCUAAUGUUGCAUUGUUUGCACAAGAUUCCUUUAUAUAUGGUUUCUUUGUGAAAUUAAUCACAGCAGAUUAUUACAUCUUCGUCAUAACGAUACCUUCUUUACUAUUUUAAUUUCUACUUAGACAUUUGUUUUUUGAUUGUUUUUUUUUUUGCUAUAGUGAUUUAUUUGAACUCUCCUACUCUGUCUAAUUAGUAUCACUGACAUAUAUUUGAUAUAGGACUGAAGUGCGAAAAAUGUGUUGGUUUGAAUGCACUCAUUUUAGUCUUUUUGCAUCUGAUAGAGCAGAUGAAAAUAGAGGGAAACAAAAAUCUCAUUUGCACCUUCAGGAUCACAAAUGAACUCUAUCUCAGUUUUACUUAUAUGUCCCCCUUUUGUUUUCUUAUAUGUACGAAACUAACAACUCCUUUUUUUUUCCAAAAUUUGUAGGAACUAGCUGAAACCUUAAACCUUAACAUAAUGAAGAUGAAGAUGAGCUGGAAACAAUGAAGUAGGAAAAUCUAGAUUCAGUAACAUGUUCAUAGUCUAUCUAAAUAUUUUGAAUAAUGAGCAGUUUAAUGCUGUUAAUCUUUUGAUCGUGGUAAUAUGUUACUAAUUUACUUUCUCAACAACAGAUAUGUAAAUAUUGAUAUAUAAAACUUAUUUUAUGUUAAAUAGUAUUUUCUUAAAUGGUGUUUUUAAAACCUGCAGCAAAGCGCGGGUGUUUAUGCUUGUUUUAAUCAAUGCCGCAUAUAAAUGAUUUUAAAAUAUGGGGAAGCAUAAAAUUUCAAUUAACAUAAAAAAUCCAGGUUCAAUCUUGAAUUUGAAACUUUUCAAAUUCAGUUUAGUUUGUGCAAAUUAUGUAAGGGCUAUGAUAUUAUUAACUACAUAUCCGUAUAAAAUCAGCCCUCAGUUCUUAGGAAAUUCAUCACCAGCACUCACUAUGAAAGAUUCUAUCAAUUUUUGGCAGUUUUGCUUCAAAGACUUGUUUAUAGAACGGAAACAGAAAAAGAAAAAACGGAGAAGAAUUUACAAGUCUUUUGCCGACACGCUAUGAACUAUCUGGCUGACAAAAAAUGUUUCGAUAUCUAGGAAAACAAAUGAUAUAUGCUAUCACUUUGGUUGAGCAUAUAAUUAUGAAGGAUUUGGUGGGGCGGGGACUUCAACAGUUCCUUCAAGCAUCUGCAUGACAUUCUUCGUGGUCGGUCGUUGUGAUGGAUCCCCUUGAAUGCACCAAAAUUUUAUAACAGUUCAUAUACUUCAAAAAAAUCACCAAAAUUUCAUAUCGUAUUUAGUUAAAUAUCCAUAGCCUUCCGAAGGCCUGGAAACAUUAUUUUAUACGCUUAAAAUAGAUACGAUCUUGUGAAAUUUUGGUAUAUUUAUUGAGAAAUAAAUUUUGUUUGAUGACAAAUUUGCCUGUUUGGAUUAUCUUGCAAUUUGGGUGCAGUAUCUAAUUAGCAAACUCCUCCAUCUUGUCAAUGUUUUCUAGUUGCUUAUAUAAUAGGGUCCCGCUUAUCCUGGUGAUAUUUUAUUAGGAAAACUAAUUAAAACAACUUAAAAUUUUUGAAUUUUAAUUAAAAGAACAAAAAAUUGUUGUAAGUGAAUAAUACCAAAAGUGACAUUUUAGAUUAAAAAUGUCUUUUUUUAUUAAAAUAAACAGUACCUCGACAUGGGCUUCCAGAACGCUGACUUGGAAAACGAAGCUCUUCGGGAAGUGGGUACGGUUGGGAUUUUCGGCUUCCCCGGCGGCGGCGGCAUGGGACUCAGCUUUGGGAUUUCUGGAGAAGCAGAGCCAGAGACUCGAGGCUCUGAUGGUUCGUAAGCUCGAGAUUUGAGUCACUGAUUUCGUUAACGUCUGCUGUGUAUUCUUCGCCGAUCUGCAUGACACAUCGUUUCUGCAGUCGUGGUUGUACUAGCCUACUAGGUGGGAGGGAAAGAAGAACAUACAUGAACUGUUCAUCUUCAUCGUUUUUGUUUUUGUUUUUUUUUUUUAAAGUUUUUCAUUAUAUAGAAAAUAAAUUUUUUUCAUUAUUAAAUUUUUUUUAAUCCACAUGAUAAUAUUUAAUUAAAUUUGUGAACCUAGUUAUGUAUCAUAUCAACACAUAGCAUAAUUUUUUACAAAAGUAUAACGACAUUGAUUUACAACACCUAUUUUCAAAGACUAUAUUGAUCGAUUUUUAAUUUUAUAAACCAUUUUGAUGUGAUGUGUUAAUUUUAAGAACUAUUUGUGAGAAAAAUCCUUAAAAAAUACAGUCAGAUUUUGCAUACAACGACAUUGAAGGUGGAAAUUUGUGCUAAGCCCGUCAUGAUUGGUAUGUAACUUGCCACUAAAGAAAUAUGCAAACGCGGAAACAUGUUCAGAGCAUACAACUAAUCAGAAAUACUGCAAAAAGAAUAUUAUAAAAAUGUACGAUUACAAAGAAAGGGAUCCUACACCGACAGGAUUCAAAGAUACCGAUACGGGGAUGCCUCAACGCCGGGAUUGUACGCCUCGAUUCUAAUCCUGAAGGGGCGUAAAACAAAUGUCACAUCCCGGCCCGGGCCCCCACCACAUCCUGGGCUCGACUCCGCCGUAGCACGAUAUUGUCCGCUUUGGGCCCCGACCACGCCCUCACGGUUUUGUUUCUGGGAACUCACAUGAGAACUUCCCAGUGGGUCACCCAUCCUGGGAUUGCUCUCGCACAAACUUGCUUAACUUCGGAGUUCUGAUGGAACCCGAAGCUAGUGAGCUUCCAAAAUGCCUCGUGCUAGGUAGAGAUGGGAAUAUAUAUAGAUAUAUAUAUAUAUAGAUAUAUAUAUAUAUAUAUAUAUAUAUAUACAUGAUUCACUCCCCUGGCCGAUGUGGGAUGUUACAACAAAAGUGUGAGCGGACCAAAGUUUAUAAAUAUUAAUAAUAAUAAUUGUUGGUACCAUAUAUUGGGCCUCGUCUUUAGGCCUCAUCCCUAAGCCCAUGAUUUAUGUAAAAUGGGAGGGAACCCUUAUUCUAUAAAAGGGGGCCUCACCUUCACUAAGAGGAGAAGAAACACAUCCCUCACAACAAUAGAGGGCAAUACCCUCUCAGCCAAACAGAGAGCAAAAUGGCAAGGGCUGCAUCCACAGAGAGCUCCCUUGCCGAUCUAUUGUAAUCCAUACAUUCAUACAGUGAAAUGGAAUCAACAUCAGUGUGGACGUAGCCCAAACAUUGGGGUGAACCACGAUACAUCUUUGUGUUCUUGUGCGUUUGUGUGAUUCACGGUCGGAUUUACGUUGGUCCAAGAUCCUCCAGAUUUUGUGCAUCAACAUUUGGAGUCCCCCAAGUCUUCAGUCAAGAGAGUCUUUUGGCUGGAGACUUCAAAUCCAAUCCAUGUGUGGGCCGAAGUAACUAGAUAUUGUCCUGAACAAGUACUCAACACAAGGCAAUGCUCAACAUAAAGCAAUACUCGGUUAGAGGUAUCACACGUUGCGAGACUGCUCGGCUGGAGGCGAUACUCUUUGCGAUGCUGCUCGGCUAGAGGCUAUGCUCGCUGUGAGACAGCUCGGCUCGUGGUGUUCCUCAUUACUUUAUGUCAAUGUGCACUCAGUAUGAGUUGAUUCUCAACAUGAUUCGGGUCCGUUUGUCGGGUUCGCAUAUUGGGUCUAUGUGUCGGAUCCGUGGAUCAGGUCCGCAAGUCGGGUCUUUGAGUUGGGGCCAUACGUAGGGUCAUCGAGUCGGGGCUAUCUGUAGGGUCUUUGAGUUGCGUCCAGGCACAUAGGUGUCCAAAUAAGCGAGUGUCCGAGCAAGUGGGUGUCCAGUCAGACAAGAGAUCACCGUUCGGACUGAAUCUUUGUCACCAUGAGCAUGUGGCUCAUCAGUCUAUAAGUUGGUAGACUUAUUUAAUCAGCAACAAUGUUGAUCAGUGGAUCUAGUUGCUCAAUAAUUCCUGACAAUAAAUGACAGUAUAAGUAUGACUGUAUAAUGAAUAAAUCAAAUUGACAAAGUUUGUCAAGGCAAAAUAUUGUACUAUGUGCCUUCUAUAAAUAAAUAACUUAUUCAGUUGUGUGGUCGAUCACAUGUUGUAUAAGUGACAUAUGAAACACCCCAACCUCACUUUUACUUAAAAAUUGUUUUAAAGCCUUAAUUGGUGAGCCCGUGGGGCCCACCAUGUUUUUCUUUGUAAACUUCCCAGUUACUCUCUUCCUCUCACCUGAGCUAUCUCUCCCUCAUCUCUCUCAUUCUCGUCCUCCCGUGAGCACACCCACACUCACGCACUCACAUACCCAUCACCACACCACCAUUUUCGACGUUAACGGCGUAAUCAUCAUCAUCAUCAUCAGUUCGUGCUCUCCCUCUCGUCUUUGCGAGGUCGACGAACCCAAGAAGGAUCUCUGGCGAGUCCCUUCUAUUUUUCAGGUUAGGUGAGACCCAAAUCUUUCCUUUUUAAACAUUGUGGAUGAUGAUGGUCAUGAUGUGAUCCUUCUUACACCCUUUUUGUUCAAGGUUUGGCAACGGAAAUAACACAGGGAAGCACACCCAACUUCCCAGCGGACCCGUGUCCUUCGAGGGAUUUUUUCGAACACUCACGGCCGUUUCACAGCGAAGAAAGGGUAUGGAAAUACUCUACUCUCUUCCCUCUUCAUUUUGAUGUAUAGUUUGAACCCUAGUUUGCUAGAAAACCGCCGGCCAGAGCUGUAGCAGCUCCGACUUUCUCCUCCGAUCACCACGCAGGCCCUUCAGGCCACCCAAAGCACCCCGGGCCUUAGACCCGUGUUUGGACCAGCCCAGAAACACCAAAACCCAGCCCAAUUAUAAAUUUUAUUUCCUUUAUUUAUUUUUUUGACCCACUGGGCCUUAGGGCCUUUUCUUUUUAUUUAGGGCUUAAAGCCCGGUUGUUGGUAACUAGGCCUGCAGGCCGUGCCUUGAGGGUGUGUAUGGGCUGUGUGUGUGUGUGUGUUAUGUUGUGUACGUGUGUGUGUGGGUGUACGUCCGUGUGUGUGUGAGUGUAGUGCAUGCGUGUGUGUAUAUGCAUGUCAUGCAUGCAUGUGCAUGCCGUGCAUGUGUGUGUGCUUAGGUGGUGUGUGUGUGUGUUUGGGCUUAAGCCCAAACCACAUUUCUUCACCCUAUACCCUUUUAACCCAAAAAUCUUAGGACCCUAAACACAAAACCCAAUAGAUCCUAAUCUUAUUUAACCUAAACCCUAAUCCGGAUUUCAAGCCUAAAACCCGUUAGACCUAAUUUGACCGUUGACCCCGGUCAACGUUGACUUUAGGGUUGACUUUUCUGGUUUUCGUCCGGGAUCCUUCUUAGGGUAAUUUGACGUUCUGAAUCCGUUUCCAAUGUCUAUUUUCCCAAAUUCAAUUGCUAUUAUAUAGUUUUAUUUAUUGGACUCUUUAUGUGCUUAUGGGCAAUUAUAGUGGCGUUUCUGUCUUCGCUAGCUGCGUGACUUUUGGACGGCGAAGUACUGUGAGUGGACCCUUCCUAAAAUUACAUGAUUUUAUAAUUUAAUUGCAUAAAUGAUUAGCAUGCCUACGAAUUUAUGAUUCGAAUUAUGUUAAGCCUGUUUACUAAAUUUAUUGAUUUCGUCUCGUGUUUUUGGUGAGGAAUUAAUUAUUAGCCUAUUUUGAGCUAUAUUUUAAUAUAUCGUAUUUUCUAUAAAAAUCAUGAACUGGUAGACUAUCCGAUGGAUGACGAUAGGAUGUAAGAACAUGUUUUAGAAACCCCUAUUUAUAGUAUAGACAAUGGAUGACUUUAUACUAUGAAGUGGUUAUUUUUUAGAGGCGUAACUAUUUGUGCGUACCUAGUAGACACUAUGCCGCCUGGGGCGAGGAUCUGGUGUUGGCAUUUAGGCCGGGAGAAAUAAUCCCUAGUUACGGGCUGAGGGACAUGGAGCAGGCAUUGGGCCGGGAGUUGGUAAUAUCUGGCUACGGGCGCAAAGACCACGGAGCAGGCAUUGGGCCGUGAGUUAUAUUUAUUCAGUGAUCUUUCUAGCAGCACACCGCGUUUACGAGACGAUUUAUGAUACGUUUAUUGUUUUGAUUUCCGCAAUGUUAUUCUGCGAUAUGACUUUUGAGAUAUUUUUGGCAUGCUAAGAUUUUGAUUAAAUCCAUCACUUAUUAUGCUAGUAAUUUUCAUUAUUAAAACUUGGGGGUUAGUAUGUUCACAACUGUUUUCAUAUUAUGUAUAUAUAUGAACUUGGUUCACUCACCCUUGUUUUGCGCCCCCUUUCAGGAUUUAGAAUCGAGGCAUACGAUCCCGACGUCAACUCUUUCGCAUUGGCAUAUUCGAGUCCUCUCGGUGUAGGACCCACAUCCUUUUAUUUAUUCAAUUUUAUAUUAAUUCUUUUAAAGCUCUAGUUAGUUGUAUGCUCUGAACACGUUCCUAAAUUGUUAAUUCUUUGAAUUUUAAAUUCAUAACCCUUAUUUACUUCUUAUUCUUACCUUUUGUAUCAAUUAAUGGCUGUCGUCACCCUUGGGUGUCGGCCAGCACGUGUCUAUCCUGGUAUUCGGAGAAUAUCAGAGUUGGGGGGGGUGGUCAACAUAGUUUAAGGGCAAUCACAAUAUCACUAGGCAAUGAAUAAACAUUGCACAUGUACUUGGGUUAAAUAUAUGUCACUGGUAUUCGGGGAAUAUCAGAGUCGAGGGGGUGGUCAACAUAGUUUAAGGGCAAUCACAAUAUCACUAGGCAAUGAAUAAACAUUGCACAGGUACUUGGGUUAAAUAUAUGUCACUAGCGACAAAUAAUGGAAAACAAAAUCCGGAUAAUAGUCUUACACAUGAUGACUAUAGGGAUAAAGUAUAUGUGUAUAUAUAUGUAACUUUGUAUUAUGGAGUGUGGACCGUGCCCUAAUAAUGAAAAGUGACAAUAUGUGAUGUGGUCACACUUCCUACUUUGGGAACAAUCAUGAUAAAAUCGUAUUAUGAUGACAAGCAUAGACGCACAGGUUAUGUGGUAUCAGCAGCCUGUGUUGGCAUAGUAGUAAUGAUGUGACAAAAGAUUAUCAUCAUAAUAAAAUCUUUGAAUAAACAUACAUCUGUAUACUUGCAUUGUGUAGUGUGCCCUGAGUCACUAAAGUUCAUCCCAACAUUUUAAAUAAUGAAUAAAGUAUUCAGAAAUGAUUAAAGUUAUAUUUAUUUUAAACGAAAGUGGCCGACACUUGUAACAAAUAUCAUAAUAUAAUAACAAUAAAAUAUUAAAUAAAUGAUGAAAACAUAAUGAUGUUUGCUGAAAAGGAAAAGUAAAGUUCUCUUUAUUUUUUUUCUAUUGGCAGAUGGCAGACAAUAACGAAAUAAUAAUAGAAUUAAUAAUAAAAAACUUAUCUACGUUUAUUCUUGUUGAAAGGAUAAACCAAAGAUGAACAACCUGAACUUUUAGUAAGACAAUGGCUUCUAUGAGCUGUUGAAUCCCAAAUCUCGUAAGACAAAUGGCUUCUACGAGCCAUUGGGGUGUGGCUGUGUGAGUGACUGAGUGAUAUACUAAUGUACAGAUCUUGCACAUCGAAAUGGAAGCAAGAAACAGCUUGCACAGUUUGUACAAUUUCCGAAAUCCUAUCCCACCCAAUUGGAACCCAAUGACCACCCUCAAACCUUUCCAUAUCCUGAACUUGGCCUGAUUGCUGGCUCCUAUCUUCCAUUUGGGAUGGAGAAUCAGAAAAUCCGUAAGAAGGAACACGCACCCUCUCUUGCUCACCAUCUAUUUGUUGUUUAGUCAGGUUUUUUGAACCAGGUUUUGAACUAAUUAUUUUCUUCCGGCUUCGGAUAAACUCAAAAGCACAAAUAAGCUCAUUUUUCCAAAGGUCACUCCCAGUCCCAGGCAUGGGAUCUCUACUAGAACAAAUUCUAUGGCUAUCCGGGUUCUUCGUGUUAUUGCAAUGGGAAGAACUGUUCUCCCCCACUCUACUGUUGUUGUGUUCCAUCAAUGCACAGCUAAACCAUGGAAGUUGCAAUUCUCAGAGACAGGAUUAAGCUGCAAUCUUGAUCACAGCUAAAUACUGCAAUGUUUAGAAAAAUUAUCAAAACCUGACUAUAAUUAAAUUAGAAUUUCAGUCCAUGGAUUGCAGUUUGCACUCAUAAAUUGGGAAAAGAUUCAAACUUCCAUCUCCGAGAGUAUAAAAAGUUUACAGACACUGCAACCUCCAAGUUAACAAACAAAACAAUAAAACAAAAGAAGUAGCAAUCAAGCAAAUAAACUCUACCCAUAUAAACAACCGAAUAAGAACAUGACCCAGGAAAAACAAUUAAAAAAUACCCAACAAAUAAAAAUCAAGUGGGAUAGAGAGAAAAUUGUUCCUGAAAAUUUAGAGGGGGAGAAAAAUGAUGAAUUUAAAUGGUAAAUUAUGGGUUCUUGUACGAAUAACAGAAUAUUUCUAUUACUGUUAAUUAGGAGGAAAUGAAAUGAGAGGAGGAGGAGCUUACCCAGGAAAGAAGGCAGAGUGUUGAAAAACCUAAGCUCCACCAAGGCAAUGCCUUUGUUUGAUUUAUGCAGGAGAGAAAAACUUGAACUCUAAGAAAAAACAGAGGGACGUGGAAAGGCUACGAACGUUGGUACAAUUCGAUGCUUCCCUUCAUUGUUUCGAUUUUCGUCAAAGGUGAAUUUGAACCACAUUAUUUCUAGCCCAUUAUGAGGCUAAGUCCAUCUCCUCACCCUUAGUGUAAAUGACAUCGGUUUUUCAAAAAAAAAAAAAAAAAAAAAAAAACCAUAAAACCUCUUCCAAAUGCCUUGUAACAUUUUCCUCACGGAAAAUAUUUUGUGAAAAAAAAAAAUUGCAUUUGUUUAUUAAAAAAACAUGGGUUUUCAAGCGGGUUGGUGCACCCAAAACGAGGCGAGACUCGUCGUAUAAACCGGGGCGGGGUCGUGGAUGCAAAAUCAUGGCAAGCUUCUGGCACGCAAAACAAGACGGACUCCUUGCACGAAAAGUGAGGCAAGCAAAACAUGAUGGACUUAAUGCAAGUAGAACAAGUCCAACCCAAAUGCAUGAAAAACGAGGCAAGAUACGUUGCGCAAACUAAGACCAGCUAGGCGCACGGAAAAUGUGACAUGCAAAACGAGAGGCAGGCUCGUGCAUGGAAGUAUGGCGGAACCGGCAUAGGCAAAAUGAGGCGGGCUUGGCGUAUGGGUCAACUAUUGUUGCCCACAAGAAGCAUUGGUCUCAGGGGUAGAGCAUAUAAGCUGUUAUCUCUAUGGGGUGGGGUUUAGUUUUAAUCACACAGGUUAACCAUUGUUGCCCAUACGAACUAUUGGUGCCAGGAGUAGGGCAUUUAUAGGUGGUAAAAUUUAGUUUUAAUCCCACGGGUCGACCUAUAAUACCUUGAAAAUUUAAAUAUAUGAAUUUUAAUUCAUAAUUAUGAAAUGUGGAGAAAAGUGGAAAUGAAUCGAUUUAUGGUUAUGGACAGGGCCGGCCCAGGCCCAGUGCCACAGGGGCAACUGUCCAGGGCCCCAAAAUGAAGAGGGCACCAAAAUAAAAAAAAACUCAUAUAACUAAGUAUUAAAAAAAAAAUUUCACAGCCCAAAUAGGGGUUGGCAAGAGCCCAAAAGGCAACAAAAGGGCCCAGAAAGACCCAGCCACAGAUUAGAAGAAAAAAAAAAAAAAAAAAAAAAAAAAAAAAAAACAUAACAAAACAUAACAGGGACCAGUGGUCCCAAUCAAACCCUAAUCACUAAUAUACUACAACCUUUCCCGAUUCCCCACCCUUUCCCGAUUCCCCACCCCCCCACCCACCUCCCUUUUGUUCCCUACAUCCCUCACUUUGCCUUCCCUGCCCCUUUUUUUUCUUUCUCUGAAUCAUUAUUUUUCUUUCUCUUGAAUCAUUGGAGCUUUGCUCUGCCAUCCCAAGCCAUCCCAACUUCUUUGCUACAAGCUUUAAUGGUUGCUCCAAACUCUCAAGCGCAAAGACAAAAUUAGUUUUGAGGUAAAUUUUUAAAAUUUUAAUUCUUAAUUUAUAAUUUAAUAUAAAAUUUUGCAAUGCAAGUGAUAUAGAAUUAUAUGAUAAAUUGAUAAUUGAUGUAUAGAAUUAUUGUUGUUGAUGAAUGAUGAAUUGAAUUCUUGACUAAUUGAUUAUUGAAUUAUUUGAUUUCAUUUCAAACCCAAUUUUAGGUUCAAUUUUUUUAUAAUAUGUUUGACUAUGUGUUAGUGUUUUUAUAAUAUAUAAUGUGUUGGAAUGAUAAUUUUGAUGGGAAAAUUUUGUUAUAUCAUGUGUAGGUAAUUUUUGCAAACAAAUUAUCGAAGCCAUGUCUUUUAGGAAACAACUCUCUGGUAAUAUGAAAAGAAAAAAAAAAGGCAAAGGAUAACGAAAUUGCCGAAAGUUUAAGAGGAUCUCUUAAUAAAUUUUUCUCUACAAAUAAUGAGUCAGUUGAAAAUUUGAGAGAAAAUAAUGUUGGUGAAGAGCCACAAAAUGUUAUUGGGGAGUCUCAUGAUCAUGAAAAUGGUAGUGAUUUAGAAGAAAAUGUUGGUGAUGAGUCUCAAGACCAUGAAAAUGGUGGUGAUGUGGAUUUAAAUGUUGAUGAUGAUCAUAUUGGUGUAGAGGAAAAUAUUGAAUCUCCUGAACCUAUUUUCCAUAUAAACAUUUAUGAUCCAAGAGUUUGGGAUGGUCUUAAUGCAGAAAUGAGAGACUUGCUUGUAGAAAAUGGGCCAAUUCGAGAAACUAAUCUCACUUAUCCUAAGGACAAACUCUCUAGAAAAUUUUCCUCACACUACUAUGAUCGAAAAUUACCAACGGGUGAAAUUUAUGAUAGGAAAUGGCUCGUGUACUCAAAAGAGUUGGAUAAAGUCUUUUGCUUUUGUUGUAAAUUGUUUAAAACAAUUGCCUCAAAAAGUGAGUUAGCAAAAGAUGGAAUUAGUGAUUGGAGACAUCUUGGUGUGAAGCUUGACCAACAUGAAAAGAGUAAAGAACAUCUUACUAAUUUGAGAACUUGGGUUGAGUUGAAAAGUAGAUUGACAACAAAUCAGACAAUUGAUAAAGAAUUUCAAAUGCGAAUCAAGAAAGAGACAAAUCAUUGGAAACAAGUGAUGCUUAGAAUUAUUGCUGUUGUGAAAUGUCUUGCUAUACGUAAUUUAGCAUUUCGUGGAACAAAUGAAAGACCUUAUGAAGACUGUAAUGGAAACUUCUUAGGUUUACUUGAAAUGAUUGCGGAGUUUGAUCCAAUAAUGCAAAAACAUUUUCGACUCAUUGAGAAUAAAGAGAUUCAUCACCACUAUUUGAGUCAUAAAAUUCAAAAUGAGUUGAUAGCUACUUUAGCUUCAAAAGUCAAAACCGCAAUCAUUAAAAAGGUAAAAGAAGCCAAAUUUUUUUCUGUCAUUCUUGAUUGUACUCCUGAUGCAAGUCAUGUGGAACAAAUGACUUUAAUUUUGAGAUGUGUUGACUUGUCAAGUAGGUCAAUAAAUAUAAGGGAGUAUUUCAUGGAGUUUUUAAGUGUGGAAGAUACAUCAGGACAAGAACUUUUUAAUGAGUUGCAAGAUGUCCUAAAGUCUCUUGAUCUUGAUAUUGAUAAUGUGAGGGGACAAGGUUAUGAUAAUGGAUCUAACAUGAGAGGGAAACACCAAGGUGUCCAAAAAAGAUUGCUAGACAUAAAUCCCAGAGCAUUUUACAUGCCAUGUGGUUCUCAUUGUCUUAAUUUAAUAGUUUGUGAUAUGGCAAGUUCAUGUCUUAAAGCAAAAUCUUUUUUUGGAGCAAGUCAAUGCAUAUAUACGGUGUUUUCCAACUCUACAAAGCGUUGGAAUAUUUUGCUUGAACAUAUUGAUGGUUUAACUUUGAAGUCAUUGUCAACUACUCGAUGGGAAAGUCACAUUGAAAGUGUUAAAGCAAUUAAAUCCCAAGUAGCCCAAGUUAGAAACGCUUUGUUUACGUUGGUGGAAAUUACUGAGAAUCCCCAAUUGAGUAGGGAUGCAGAAUGUUUAGCAUCAGGAGAACUUUCCAGUUUUGAUUUUGUAUUAAGUUUGGUUAUUUGGUAUGACAUUUUGUUGAAGAUUAACAUGGUGAGCAAAAAAUUACAAUCUGAAGACAUGCGUCUUGAUGUUGCUGUAAAGGCUUUGGAAGCACUUGUUACAUUUUUUGAAAACUACAGAGAAACUGGUUUUGCUUCUGCCAUGCGUGAUGCUAAAGAAAUUGCACUUGAAUCGGAAAUUGACCCUGUUUUUCAAACUAAACGUUAUAGACCUAGAAAAAGACAUCAUGAUGAAAUUGAUGGUAAUGAGAGGGAACAACAGUCUGCUGAAGAAUCAUUUAGAACAGAUUAUUUUCUUGUUAUAGUGGAUAUUGCUCUUUCUCAACUGAAACACAGGUUUGAACAGUUAAAGGCUUUUGAAUAUAUUUUUUGGCUUCUUGUUUGAUGCACCGAAGUUGAUUUCAUUGGAUGAUCAACAACUAAAAGAAAAUUGUAUGAAUCUUGAAGCACAUUUGAAACUUGGAAAUACCAUGGAUGUAGAUGGAGCCGACUUAUGUUCCGAGUUACAGGUGUUGCAAAUGAUGUUACCUGAAGAAGCAUUUUUCUCUAAUAACCCUUGGACAACCAUGGAAAUAGCAAACUUUGUAAAAGAAACUGACAUGUGUCCUAAUGUCUUGAUUGCUUAUCGUGUACUGUUGACUGUACCUGUGACCGUGGCAUCUGCAGAAAGAAGUUUUUCAAAAUGAAAUUAUUAAAAUCUUACUUGCGGACCACUAUGACUCAAGAUAGGCUAAAUGGAUUAGCAAUCUUAUGCAUUGAAAAGGAUGAGAUUGAAGACUUGGAGUAUGAUGAUAUAAUUGAUGAUUUUGCUUCAAAAAAUGCCAGAAGACAAUUUCUUAAAGGUUGAAAUUUCAAUGAGUUUUGCUAGGAAUGGUUGUAUAUGAUUGUAUUUUUGAUUGUCGGGGUUUAGGUAUUAUGUCCCCCCCGUUGUAUAUUUUCUCAAGUAAUAUAAUUUGGGCGUGAGGGCCUAGCCCCCCCAGCUUUGACUGGGUUCCAGCCCUCGUUAAAUAUUUUUUUUAAACAUAUGUUUCCGUAUUAAAAAAGGCCACAUUUUGAGCUUUCGCACUGGGCACCCAAAAACACAGGACCGGCCCUGGUUAUGGAGACAUUAAUUGAGAACUUUUAAGUUUUGGUUUUCGGAAAUUAUUAAAAUUUAAGUAUUUUCAUGAUUGAGAUUUUAUCUUAGUUUUGAGAAUUUAUAUUAAGUUAUUUGAAUUAGUUUUAAAUUAAACUAUGUUUGUACCAUACUUGACCAAUCCCAAAACUACUGAGCACCGGUCAACGUUAUACCGUCAAGGACCCAGAAGAGUUUCCCUCCAACCAGGAGGCUAAUCACAGUGCGACACAUGUUGACAUCAGAAGCCAAUCAUAGCGCGACACGUGUCAACAUCAGAAGCCAAUCACAACAUGACACGUGUCAAUGUCAGAACAAAGCUAGAAACUCUAUAAAAGGAGAUCAUUCUCCCACAAUAUUUCCUAAUGUCAUUUGUACUAAAUCAUUCAUUAGUACUCACUAAAGGAGAGCUUGAACCUAUGUACUUGUGUAAACCCUUCACAAUUAAUGAGAACUCCUCUACUCCGUGGAUGUAGCCAAUCUAGGUGAACCACGUACAUCUUGUGUUUGCUUCCCUGUCUCUAUCCAUUUACGUACUCAUCCAUACUACUGAUCGGAGCAAUCUAGCGAAGGUCACAAACUUGACACUUUCUGUUGUACCAAAGUCCUCACUAAUUUUGUGCAUCAACAAACUGCUUACGAAGUUUGAAGUUUGGAAAGUAAUUAUUUAAAAUCCAUAGACCUUUCGAGGUUGCAAUUUAUAUUUUUGAUUAGAGUUCGAUCUCACGAACGCGUAGGCGCAAACCGUUCGUGAAACGGAGUUAUAACGAAGAAGUUAUUAAUGUUUAAAGUCAGGGAUAUUUUGGUAAUUUUAAAUUCAUUUAGAAGACUCCAGAAAUCUGGAGCAAUAUGUUGUGCCACGUGUGUGGCUAUGAUGAAUGUAAAAUAAAUGAUGGACAACUGAGAUUGAAAGAAGAGAAUAGAAAUGAGGAAAAGGAAGAAGGAGAGAAGGGGGUGGCCAAUGGGAGAGAAAAAAAGGAGGGGACAUGAGAGAAGGGGGUGCGGGGGAUCCUUAACCCGCGAGUAGCAACCCGACCCGGUCGGUUUUGCUUGCCAUUUCCGACGUCCGACGGGUUUUAGCCCAUUUUCCGGCGAAUUACACCAAAAUAACACUUGCAAAACCCUCCAUGGCCUUCCCUCUUCCUAUUAUACCCAAAAAAAAAAAAUCAAGGGAUUGGGACUUGAAAAUGGGAGAAUCCGCACAGUGGGGGUGCGGCGGGUGUGUGUUCGAGACUAUCAAAUCCAAAGCUAACUACCUCCAACUUCACCACAAUUAGACUUCCCUUGAGGCCUAGAACAAAGCCCAAACAACUGUAGGGACGGCGGAGCACCGGAGGUGACAAUUCGAGGCCACACAUGUAUAGGGUUUUCGGCGAGUUUGGGCCAAAUUGGAGCCUUUCUAGGCCAAAUUGGACUUGUUGGGCCUCUCAGCAGUUUGGGAUGGAUGGUGAAGAUGACUUCACUGUUGCAGAUUUAGCAGCUCCGUAUUGGGAGUUUCCGGCAGGGCCCAUUUGUGGUGCCAUGUCUCUGCAGGCCACCCCACAGUUGAAGCAUGGCUCAGCAAUUCCCAGUGGCUUCACCCUGCAGUUAGCUUAGCUUUAAGAGAUGAAGGUCGACUGAUCAGUGACCGGAUGAAGCACCUGCGAUACGAGGUACAUUGCAUUUGUUAUAUCUGAAAUUGCUAAGUAAUUAGUAGUAUUGGUUUGUAAAGCCUGUUGCAGUGGCAGGAGUGUAACAAAGUGACUGACUUUCAGCUUGAACUUUUUCGGAAUCUGGUUUUGUUGAAGAGUUGAUUCUGAACAUGCUUUGAUGCCUCUUUUCAGGUCCCAGUUAGGGUUGCCGGGGGGGUUUGCUAUUUGAGCUUUUGGGACAGUCUAUUGGGAAUCCAUUUGUUGAUGAGGAUGAUAUCCCCAUUGUACUUAGAUCGUGGCAAGCGCAAAACUUCCUUGUAACGGUUUUGCAGAUUAAGGGGCCCGUGUCAAGUAUAAAUGUGUUGGGUAUCACAGAAGUUCAGGUUGUUCAUCUUUGACUGAUCCUUUCAGUGGCUUUGAACUUCUUACUGUGUUAUUUUUUUGUGCAUGCAACUUAAGGGCUGGUAGGUUAAUCCUUUGCUUUGGUUAGGAACUUGUUUCAACUGGAGGCUAUAAUGCACCGAGAACAGUGCAUGAAGUCAUAGCACAUCUAGCUUGCCGCCUUACUAGAUGGGAUGACAGGUAACUUUAGUACUAUCGUUCUGAUAUAGCAAAUUACAAAAGCCUACUUACUGUGGAAAUGGCACAUCAAUUAUUGGCGUUGGCUCAUGCAUGUACUACAACUAAUUCUAUUCCGUUGUCCAUAAUUUUAUGUAUGCAUUGUUACGUCUUUGUCAUUUCUUAUUCUCUAACCUGUGGUUCCCUUCAAUGUCUCCGCUGUUUCAGGUUAUUCCGUAAGUCCAUAUUUGGAGCAGCUGAUGAGGUUGAAUUAAAUUUUAUGAACAGGUUCUUCCAUAUGCAUACAACCAUUCCCCGUAAAGUAAUAUUACCUCGUUGAUUACUAUUUAGUUUGUAAUUCACUUAUAAAUAUCUUUGAAUUUAGGUUUUAAAUCGUUGAUUAUAAGUGUUCAAAUAUGAAUUAUAAUAGAUUUUUGAACGGAAAAAUAUAUUUUGAAAAACAUGAAUAUGAUAGUUUGUUAUUAUAGUAAGAGAAAUAAAAGAAAAAUUGAAAAACAGGAUCGGUAUGAUGAUAGCGACUAUUAAUGUAGUAGUCGGUACAUUGAUGGCAACUGUUUGUGAACAUAAUCAGUAACAAAGUACCGAUUGUGUCAUUUUCUAUUUUAUUUAUUUAUUUUCUACGUUUGCGUUUUUCUUUUUUCAUUGAAUUUUUUUUCUUCAACAUUACUUUAUUUAGAUUCAAAUACAUUUAGAUUUAUAUUUAUACCCUUGUUUUCGAGUGUGGACAACAAUGGUCGUGUAUCACCCCAAUCCCGAAUAAUUUAUUUCAGAUAAUAAUUUUGAUGAUAGGCCCACUUUAAACUCUUGAUAAUUUUCUAUUCAAAGGUUAAGGUUCUUUGCUUUUAAUUCCUUAAUUCCACAAAAUGGUCUAAACCAUAAUUCUCUCACCAAACAUACCAUUAUUCAAUUAUCUUACCAAUUUAUUUCUAAUUUAUUCUCUUAGAUCAAGACUCCAACUAAAUAUUAAUUCUCGAUUAUUUAGUCUCACUUAUUUUAUGGCAGCAUCUAACGUCUCGUUAGACUGCCUACGUACCCUAAACAGGGAUCAAGCCAUUCGUAGUUCACAUUUCCAAAAUUCAACCCAAAACAGUGGAGAUGGCAGCGCAUGUGACCAGUCAUAAUCGUGCUUUCCGCCAUCUAUAGAUGACAACAGAUCAUCAAUGCCAAAUCUUCCCAACUUGGCCGAUCCAACUGACAGCCUCCCCAAUUUCAUAGAAACGUCGGAAGACUCGUCGGAGGAAGUUUCAGAGAAAGUCCGGCGGUUCUUCGAGAAGAGAUCCAGGUAGCCUUCAUCGGAGUCCCUCGGCGCCAAGUUCAAGCUCUGACCUUGCUGGUGCUGCAACCCCGUCGGAAAGUUCCUCCCUCCGGCCAGAGAUUCCAUCACAUUCCUAUUCAUCGUCGCUCCCCAAUUCCUCUAUAUGCCCUUCACACCAUAUCUCUCAGAAAGAGAAAGCUCAUGGAAGACCAAGAGCACGAGCUUGGACUUCAUGAAACUGAGGGGGCAAGGACUGGUCCCAAUGGGCGCCCCCAACGGAACCCUCUUAUCGACGACGUCGAGGCUACCGCGAUAGCAGUUGUCAAAUGCGGCUCUGAUGAAGAAGGCGAUCAAGGUAGAGAAGGAGACCAUGAUGAGUAAAUAUACUAAAACACAUGAUGGCGGUUCUGGAGAACGGUGCAAAUGUACUCGGUGAGCUGGACGACGGAACAUAUCUGGACACGGUUGGUCUUGAUUCGGUCGUUAAGCUGCGAAGAGAUCAUGGCAUGCUGAGACAAAACGUCGUCGGAUACCAUGAAUCGGUACCUCUCCUGUCUGCCGAUGAGCUUAAUAUCGACCACAUGCACCAACAGCUUCAACUUCAAGUCGCCGCCUAUCACCGCCACGAUGACAUUUGGUGUCAGGUUCACGGGCAUUUUGAGAAACCCUAGGGAUAGGCGUGUGUUUCGGGGAGGAGGACUACUGGGAGGGAAGGGUAGAUUAGAAAUUUGACGAGAGAUUGACGACGGAGUAAGAUACGAUUGUGUAAUUGGCGGAUUAACCGAGUGAGAGAGAGGGAUUUUUCAGAGGGGGGCUGGUGUCUCUUAGGUUUUGUAGAUCCACAGUGGACAGUGGUGAGGUUGUGAAGGUUUCACGGUGGUGAGAUGAGAAAUUGAGAGAGAAACGACAUAGCUUUUCGUGUCGAUUCCCACAGACGACACCAAAUGUUGAUGCACAAAAUUCGGAAGAUCUUGGACCAACGUAAAUCCGACCGUGAAUCACACAAACGCACAAGAACACAAAGAUGUAUCGUGGUUCACCCUAAUGUUUGGGCUACGUCCACACUGAUGUUGAUUCCAUUUCACUGUAUGAAUGUAUGGAUUACAAUAGAUCGGCAAUGGAGCUCUUUGUGGAUGUAGCCCUUUCCAUUUUGCUCUUUGUUUGGUUGAGAGGGUAUUGCCCUCUAUUGUUGUGAGGGAUGUGUUUCUUCUCCUCUUAGUGAAUGUGAGGCCCCCUUUUAUAGAAUAAAGGUUCCCUCCCCUUUUACAUAAAUCAUGGGCUUAGGUAUGAGGUCCAAAGACGAGGCCAAUAUAUGGUACCAACAAUAAUAAUAAGAAAACUGUUUUCUUUCUGAAUAUACUAACCUUCUGUUUUGAAAACACAUAUAGUACUACAUACUAGGUUUUUCUCGAAACUCUACAUGUUAUGAAAAUGUUCGUACGAUAAAAUCACUAAAGUACUCAAAUAGGGGUAUCAUAGUCGCCCGAAGGCAUAAUUAUCUCCCGAAGGUGAAGAUGUACCACUCUGGGUUACGUCAGAGAAGAAAUAUAUCUACAUAACACACCGACACUAGCCGUGGUGUGAAGUCUAGAAUUAUUGUUUGGCUUUCCUUGUCAAAUCUUGUAAAUUGUACCACACAUGCUCUAGAUAGAUUUAGGGUUCAAUGUCACUUUUGGGAUCUUGCUGCUGGAAAUAUUCUUUCAAGAGCUUAACUUCUUACAUCAAAGGUUUGGUCAUUCAUAUGCAUUUCACGUCAUUAUUUCCAGUUCAUUAUGUCUAGUGGUUCAAUCUAGUCAAAAUUUCUCGCUACUUUCCAGUUUGCUGGGCACACAUAUUAAAACAGCCCACACUGGUCAACUGACACCUUUUUCCCGAGUGAUUUUUAUCCCUAGAUCUUUCCUGAUUGUUUGUGGACAUGACAUGUGGCUUUUCUGGUCCCCUUCUUGUCUUAAAAUCUCAAGCCCUCUUUAUAAAGAUCAUGUUAGGGUUUAUUUGGUUUUGGGGGUUUGAGAUUGGAAAAGUUUUUUAGAGUUUUAUUUUCAUAUCCAUCUCUCAGCUCUCCUAGGAACAUCAAGCAGAUUUAUGGGUAAUGUUUUUCAUCGAAUAUUUCUAAAUCUAUCUUUGAAAUUGCUUGCUUAAUUCGUUUUAUAUGCUCAUUUGUUUUGGUUAGGAGUUUUACAUUUUUAGAAAAGAGUUGAUUUUAGCUUUGAGCUACCUCUUGUGUUCUUACUUGAAAACCCUAGCCACAAAAUCACACCCAUGCACUAAAUACCAACAUCAUUGCAUAUUGGGUAGCAUUAUUUUUGUGAAUUUGAUUUUUGUUUUAGGUCAAGUUUUUCCAAAUUUCAAAUCAAUGAACUGACCUUUUUUUUUUUAUUCUCGUUAGUUUCAUCUUUCAAGUGUUUGACAAGUGAAACUGACUAGACAUUGAAUCCAGAAUUGUAUAUCAUUAUAUGCAUACUUUGUUGUUGGUCUCGGUGCCACAAGGUGAAGAGUUUAGAAGGAGCUAGCAUCUUGUGAAUACUGGAGACAACACUAUUUCAGUGCCACAAAGUGAUGAGCUCAGGAGGAGCUGCCACUUCGUGAAGACCGAAGGAAUCCAUCUCGUGUAAGGUAAGGUUAGACAAAGGUAAAGCUGCUUCAUAGAUAGGGAUCUAGGAAUUGAGUUUGUGUGGUCUUUGUAUGAACCUUGAUUAUACUAGUGGAUUGAACUUGGUAGAGAGUCCCCAGUUUUUUAACCCAGAGGUGGGGUUUUUCCGGCCAAAAACUUCCUUGUGUUCAAUACUAUACAUAGCAUUCUUUAUGACCAAAUAACCAUUGCUAGAGAUAAUUGUUGUAGGAUUUGCCAGUAUUGACACGUUGUUAACCAAAUAAACAUAACUUAAGAAUCAAGGCUAAAACAUAACUAAAGAUCACAUUGUCUUGUUUUAGCUUUAUAAGUUUGCUUAGUUUAUAUGCUUGUGGGCACCUAACAAUCUAUACUCUGUUGACUAGUACGUUUGACUAGUUAGUAUAGUUGAUUUCAAAGUUUACACUGCAUAUUAUGAGUAAUGAACUGAAUUGUUGUUUAUUAGGAUAACUUGUAGUGAACUAAGUUUGAUUCGUAGAUUUGCGUUUGUUUAACUGAUACAAAUCUGUACUUAAUUGACUGGUAAGCUUGACUAGUCAAUCCAGCAUGCUUUAAUUCAUAAUUGCUUUGUCAUUAUUGUUUGCAUAAUGAACUAAUAUAUAAAUGUGUUCAAGCUUAAGAAUUAUUGUUGUGAAACUAAUCUAGGUAGUCUCUGAUUAGUUGAACAUAUUGGUCAGUUAGGCUUUGCUCCUGCAACUGCAUUUUUUAUCACCGACUAACUUGUAACUAGUUGACUAGCUCACUUAACUAGUUUACUGUGCAAAGUUAAAUUUUUAUUUGCUGGAGAUUCCGCCUAGCACCCGAUUUCACGUAGCUAGUGAAGUUGUCCGACACUAGUUUCACCAGUGAAGCUGGAAGUAUGCCAUAAUACCUUAUCGCUCCUUUACUGUGUCAUAUGGCCAUAGACAUAUACAUACUCGUUUUGUGUGAAUGUGAUGUAUGACUACCCACUAAGUAAGUAUGGAAAACAUAAUCAUAUUUCUCGUAUCAAAUCAUCGGAGCUCAAAAGCUCAAAGCACCAUAGAUCAUAUUUCUCAAAUCCAUAAUAUCUUAAAAGACGUAAAAACUAUAGUUCGUAAAUCUUUCAUGAAACGUUAAUAAUAAAAUAUGCUUUUCAUGUAUGCAAUCCUAGCAUUUAAGAAAAUCAUAUAUUUAAGAAGGGGUCCACCCACAGAUACUUCGUCGCCAAAGAGCCGUUCGAGUUAGGGAGGACAGGAUCACAACUAAAAAACACACCUAUGCACAUAAAAUGACCAAUUAGUGAAACCCUACUAAGACGAUUGAAUUUGGGAAAACGGACAUUGGAUUCAGAUUCGAGACAUCAUAAAACCUAAGGAGGAACAAUGAGUUUCCCCACGCGCUGCCACGAGGAGGCAGCCCAGGUCACCACUCUCCACCUCACAUGCCGAGAUGGGCUGCCGGAAGUUGGCUGAAAAAGUCGCUGACACCGUCGUGGAAGGCAGCGGAGCACAGUACCUCUAGUGGAGACGCGUAUACUCCACGCACCGGGCAUCGCAACACCACAGGCCCGCGAAUACAAGCGUACUUACCUUCCUCCUGAGGCCUGCAAAUUUGCAAGUUGCAGGGCUAACUUUCAGAGUUCCAAACGAGCUUAAGUCUCAACCAAAAUCGAUGAUACAAAAACCUAGGUGAAGCUAGAAGUGUAGGGAAUAGGUCUAUACCUAUUUAAGACUGUGACAUGGUCGGAGUUGGCCGGAAAAAAUGUCUGAAAGUGGCUCGACGGCCAUGAUUCUGAGUUCCAAAAAUCUGGGGAAAUCACCCAUCUGUAAUAACUUUCUCGUAGCAAGGUUAUAAAUAGUUCCAGAUCAUCAUUAAAAGAGAAUUUAGGGAGUUCUAAGGCUUACCAUGGUUGAAACUUCAAGGAGCCCGUCGAGAAACAUGGCACCGACGGUGGUUCGAUUUAACCAUUAGAAGAGAUAAAGAGAUGAGGGGGGAGAUAAAGGUCUCAAAAUUUGUCCUUUCAUUCUGUCAUACAAUUAGGUAGUGAAGGGUGUAAGGUGGAGGUGGUUUGGUCGUAAGGCUCACUAGAGUAAGGUAGAGGUGGUUUGGUCAUGAGGCUCAUCGGAGUACGGCGAGGUGGCGUGGUGGAGCAUGGUCUCUCUGCACUUACAGAAAGAGAUAGAUGAGUAAGAGUUGAGAGAAAGAGAGAGUGUAAAGCUAGAGAGAGAGAAUGAGAGUUGUGAGUGAGAAAGGUGAGAGAUGUCCACGGGAAGAAGAAAAAGAAAGAAAAAGGGAGGGAAGAGAGAGUGUCGGGAGACAUCAAAAUAGUGGUGGGCCCCACUGGCACAACAAACAAAGUAAGAAAAGAUGAAAUGGAAAAAUAUCUCGUGGAACGUAAAAUUAUCGAAAUGCCCCUACGUUUUCAAAUUCCGUAAAAUCCUCAUUCUACCUCCAAAUUCAAUUCCGUUUGCGCCCACAUGUUCAUAACGGCGAGUACUACAAGGAUACGUUAACAUAAUGGGUUAUAAGUCUCACGAUACGAGACAAAAAUCAAUUAUUUUGCCUCGAAGGGCAUUUUGGUAAAUUCAAGCUUUAAAAUUAUAAAAACCGUAAAAUUUAGGACAGGUCGUUACAAUUAGGAUUUGGAUACACAAAAUUUUGUGAGGUCCUCAUAAUGUAUUUCAAUGCAUUGGCAAAACCAUGUAGAGGGCUAUAUAUGGUGGGUUGUGGUCAAGGCAGUUAGGAAAAAAAAUUCAAAUAACCCUACAAUCUUAACUUGUUUUAAACAUUACUUCUGGUCAAUCUAGCGAACGGCUUGCUUCCCCUAAGUGUAACCAACCAUAGAUUUACUUGUUGAGGAUGCUUAUCACCUUAAUUGCUUCUUGUAAUGACUUUUUGAAUCAUCAAUCUACUAUGGUUUCCUUUCAAAAAAAAAAAAUAUAUAGCAAUGGCGGAGCUAAAAAAAUAUUUUAUGGGUGGGCUAGCUAAAAAAAUUACCCUAAAAUCAAAUGUUUUGUUUUUUGCUACAUACAUUUUGUAUGCAAAAAAUUAAGUUUAACUUCUGUAUUUGUAUACUUAAAAUUUGUCUGGCACGAACUCAAUAAGCUUUGCAAUUGCAAACUAACAAAAUUACAAUGAAUCAUCAAAUUUCACACAUAUUUAGAUUUAAACACAAGAAAAAGAUAGAAAACUUGAUAUCUCAAUUACAAUCACACAAUUAGCACAAAGCAAAACACUGAAAGUAAAAGUAAAGUCAAUCUUAAAAAAAUAAUGGGUGAAAGACUGUUUACUACCCUCAUGUUUAGUGGUUUUCAACAUUUAGUACAUCAAGUUUUUUUCGUCUCAGAGUCAUACCUAAAGUGUAAAUUUUGGGACAGUCUCAUACAUCCGUUAGUCAAACUGUUAAGUUUUUCGUUAACUGUGACGUGGCGCACUGACUAGACGUCACGUGUCAUCCACGUUUUUUUUUUCUUUUCUUUUCUUCUUCCUUCUCCUUCUUCUUCUUCCUCCGACUGCAACUUUCUUUUUUUUCUUUUUUUUUUUUUUUUUUUUUGCUUCUUCCUUCUCCUUCUUCCUUCCUUCCUCAUUCCUUCCCUUUCUUCCUUCUCAUUCUCCUUCUUCUUCCUCCGAAAUCUGGAAAAGUUUGGUUUUUUUUUUUUUCUUCUUUCUUCUUCUUCCUCCUUCUUCCUUCUUCUUCCUUCUCCUUCUUCCUCCGAAAUCUGGGGAAGUUUGUUUUUUUUUUUUCUUUCUUCCUUCUUCUUCCUCCUUCUUCCUUCUUCCUUCUUCCUUCUUCCUUCUUCUUCUUCUUCUUCCUCCGACUGCAAUUUCUUCUUCGUCCUUCUCCUUCUUCUUCUUCCUUCCCCUUCUUCCUCCUUCUUCUUCUUCUUCUUCCUCAAAAAAAAAAAAAAAAAAAAAAAAAAAAAAAAAAAAAAACUUUCAUCUUCCCCCAAAUUCGGAGGAAGAAGAAGAAGAACGAAGAAGGGGAAGGAAGAAGGAGAAGAAGGAGGAAGAAAAAAAAAAAAAAAAACUGAAUCUGGGCAGAUUCGGAGGAAGAAGAAGAAGAAGAAGAAGAAAGAAGAAAAGAAAAAAGAAAAAACUGAAUCUGGCUAGAUUCGGAGGAAGAAGAAGAAGAAGAAGGAAGGAGGAAAGAGAAAGAAGAAGAAGAAGAAGAAGAAGAAAAAAAACAAAAAAAACAAAAAAAAAAAAAAGCUUCCCCAGAUUCGGGAAGAAGAAGGAGAAUGAGAAGGAAGAAGAAGGAAGAAGGGGAAGGAAGGGAAGGAAGGAGGAAGAAGGAAGGAAGGAAGGAAGAAGGAGAAGGAGGAAGAAAAAAAAAAAAAAAAAAAAAAAGAAAGUUGCAGUCGGAGGAAGAAGAAGAAGGAGAAGGAAGAAGAAAAGAAAAGAAAAAAAAAACGUGGAUGACACGUAGCGCCCAGUCAGUGCGCCACGUCACAGUUAACGAAAAACUUAACAGUUUGACUAACGGAUGUAUGAGACUGUCCCAAAAUUUACACUUUAGGUAUGACUCUGAGACGAAAAAAACUUGAUGUACUAAAUGUUGAAAACCACGAAACAUGAGGGUAGUAAACAGUCUUUUACCAAAAAAUAAUAGUUGAAACUAAUAUAAACCCCACUAUAUCAAAGCAUAAUAAUCUUGAACAAAAUGACAUCACAAUUUUCAUGGUAACUUUUAUAUUUUUAGUUGUGCUAAAUACUCACUGGGCUAGUUUCUUUUAAAAUAAUUUUUCUUACACAUUUUUUUUGUCUAUUAUAUAGACUACACACUAAAGUAUAUAUACAUAUUGCUACAAAUCUUCCCUGGGCUACAGCCCACCAUAGCCUUUAGUGUGGCUACGCCAUUGUAUCCCAGUAUUAACUUGGAAGUUCAAUUCUUUGUGAGAUUUAUGGAAAAUAGAAGAUCAUAAAUCAAUGUAACAAUUUCAAGUGGAAACUUUUGUCACAAAUGACGCGGUAAUACCGUACUCUAUAAUUUCUCUCCGGAACACAAUCACUGAUUUUCAAUUUUUUUUUUGUUAGAUUAUUUUUCCCAGAUUAAAGAGUAAAAUCCUAGCAUGAACCGUUUUCAUUAUUGAUUUGUCUUCAAAAGAAGUUUUUUAAAGAAUUCAUUGUUUAACAAGUAUAACUUUGGCUAGCCCACCAAUGGAAAAAUUCUUGGUUUUGCCCUUGUUUCAACGAUCCAACCGGCUAUUUUUAUGUCCUAGUGUUUCUCUUUGUUUUCUUCAGUUGAACAUAUGAAAAGAUGAGUGCAAAUGAAUUACUUCAAUCUAAACUGCAAUGAAUGAAAUUUUGAACUUAGUCGCAGAGGAAGAUGUAUUGUUCGAGCCAAUUUUGAGUAAACUUGCAAAUGUGUCAAAAAUUUGUCAGAGGAAAUUCUCUAAUCCGAUAGCCUUACAACAAACAAGCUUGCUUAACGCACUAGCUUUGAGUUUCGACUUCUUGAUCCGCUUGGCUACAAUCCACCCCUACCCCCACACAGGUUUAAGUCUCUAUAAAUUAGGUUUGAUUGAUCAGCCUCCCUAAAACUAGGCUCUUUCAACGUUUUGUUACAAAUGUGCUAAAUUUUAAAAUAUGACCUUAGUACAAACCUAAACUCAAGGCCCAUCCAUAUCUUUACCAAUAAGUUGGUUGCCCAAAAUUGUUACUCCCAAUAUUCGAUGUCACUAUAUUUUUUGUUUUUUUUGUCAAAGAUAGAUUUUGUUAGAUUAGUCACUGAUGAGGUUUGAAUCCACGUUGUCAUGUAAGGACUCAACAUUUUUUCACCAUUGUAGUAAAGGAUCACUUGCUCUAUGUCACUAUAUUGAAUUACCUAAACAUCAGAUGGUUUUUACUUAUGAACAUAUAUUGUAUAACUUGGUUGUGUACAAAUAAAGCCCUUAAAAAGAAUCCCAUAGUCAACAAAACCUAAGAUUUGAUUUGAAUAAAAAAACGUUAAAUCUAGUUAUCAACGACAUAAUAUUACAUUAAAUUCAACCAAAUUACGAGAAAACAAUUAAAUUUAGUUGCAUUUUCUCGUUUCCUACUUUAAUUAUUACUUGUUCAUGUCAUAAAAAAUCAAUAUUUAUUUAUUUAUGUGUAUGUUUACUAUAAUUAAUUUUUAGAUACUCAAUUAUCAAUAUCAUUACAAGAAAUUCGUGUCAUUUUAAAUGAAAAACAAUAUUUAAUUAUAUUCAUUAAAAACCCAUAAAAUAAACAAAUUUCAGAUUUUGGCUUAUAUGGUAAAAACUGCCCAACUUAGAAUGUGUGCAUUGACAAAUGCCAAAUAUGACUGAAUUGCCAUUUAAGCCACAAUUUUAAACCCAUCUCGAAAAUGAAUUGCAGCCGUACACCAAAAUCCAACGGUUGAAAAUUGAAAUAAAAAUUUGACCGUUGGGGCCUAACGUUGGUCGCGAGCUUCAAAUAGUACCGAUUGCUUUGCUUUUAGGUUCCUGGGUCCUGAGACAAGAAACGCAGAGCGAAACAAAGAAAGAGAGAAAGAAGGUGCCUUUACAUUAAGGAAGUAACUGAAUCCGGAAACCCUAGAGGGUGAGAAGGAGAUCUCAGCCAUCAAUGGAGGAAGUCAGAGCAGCGGUUGUUCCACAGCAACCCAAAGGUGUUCGCCGAUCCCACUGCUGAUUUUUGAAUGAAAAAUCAGAAUCUUUUAAAUUCAAAUCUGGGUUCUUUUGAUGUUAUUUUGUCUGGGUUUUGUGGAAUUGUUCGAUUAGUUUCUGAGAUUUUUUAUGUGAUUUUUUUUUCUGGGUUUUAGUAAUUUUUUCUGGAUUUUGUAGAAUUCUUCAUUUGAAUUUAUGGUUAUUUGAUGUCAUUUAAUCUGAUUUUGUUGAAUUAUUCGUUUAAUCUCUGAGUUCUUUGAUGUGAUUUUAUCUGGGCUUUGUAGAACUCUUCAUUUAAAUUUCUGGGUUUUGUAGAAUUCUCCAUUUAAAUUUCUGGGUUCUUUUGAUGCGAUUUUGUCUGGGGAUUAUCAAUUUUUCUUGUUUAUUUUGAUCUUCCCGUUUCUUUUCUUGUUCAUUUUUUGAAAUGGGAAUGUUGGUUUUCUUCUGGAUAUUCGGUUUAUUAUUGAUUGAUCUUUAAUUCUGUGAUUCUUUGUGGGUUCGGUGCUGAUUGGGGAUUUGUAUUCUGGGGUUUUAUUUCGUGUUCUUUCUUAUUGUUGUAGCGAGUCAGAUUUUGUUUCUCGGAAAUCUUCAUGUUUUAAUGUCCGAUUUCUUCGAUUUUGAUGUGUUUUGCGUUUGUUCUUCCUGAAGGUGGUGAUGAACUCAGAAGGAACAGGCGAGUUCUUCAGGACAUUGGCAAUCGCCCCAUCACUAGGUCUCUCUCUCUCUCUCUCUCUCUCUCUCUCUCUCUCUCUCUUCCACAAACACACAACCAAUUAACUAACGAAUUCUUGACUGGCAGGAGUUUUCAUGCACAACUGAUAGCAAAGGCACAAGAAAAAGGAGUUAACAAUGCGGUAAUAAAAAUUUACCAUUGUUUUUGUUCUUAUGAAUUUUGGUUUUUGACUCUUAGGUUAAUUAUUCUCAUGGAACUGGAUUCUAUAAAUUUUGUAGAACCCUGUGGUCCUGCCCGUGCUUGAUGAUAAGGUAGCUCUCAAUCGAAAGCGUUUUCCGGUGAAGAAGGUAGUCCCAAGGAAGGAAAUUGAAAAGCCAAAAACUGAGGCCGUGGUUGUUAUCAGUUCUGAUGAAGAAGAAGAAAAGAAGGAACCUGUUAAUCGAUGCAAGCCAGAAGAAGUGAGGAAGGAAGUCAAGACUCUGACUUCGAUCCUCACAGCUCGAAGCAAGGUGAGUUUCGAUGUUAUUUUGGAAUGAUGUCUUGAAUUUAACUUUGCUUUGUUGGAGUACUGAAAUUUUUGUUUGCUGCAGGCUAUGGCUAUUGGAGUGAACUCCAAGCCGAAAGAAAAGAUUGUUGAAAUCGAUUCAGCUGAUGUCAACGAUGAAUUAGCAGUGGUUGAAUACAUUGAUGACUUGUACAAGUUCUACAAGCUCACCGAAGUGUGUUCUAUUUCCUUCAUUCCUCCCCAAUUCAAUUUCCCCUUUUCCUAUCUCUUAUCUUACAGAAGAAAAUUUCCUAUGCAGGAUGAUAGCCGAGUUCAUGAUUACAUGGAGUCACAGCCAGACAUAAACUCGAAGAUGAGAUCAAUCCUCGUAGACUGGUUGGUAGAGGUUCACAAGAAAUUCGAGCUGAUGCCUGAAACCUUCUACCUGACUGUGAACAUACUUGAUCGGUACCUUUCGAUGAAGAUCGUUUCUAGGAGGGAACUUCAGCUAGUUGGCAUUAGUUCUAUGGUCAUAGCAUCCAAAUAUGAGGAAAUCUGGGCUCCACAGGUGGGUUUCUUCACUUGUUUUAGUAAGUUUCACCUGAUUUCGAACGAUACAAUUUAUUCUGAAAUUUGAAAAUGGGGUUUUUGAUAUGCAGGUCAAUGACUUUGUUUGCUUGUCAGACUAUGCAUACACUGCCAAUCAGAUACUGCGCAUGGAGAAAGCAAUUCUGGGGAAGCUGGAGUGGUAUCUGACUGUUCCCACCCCUUAUGUCUUCCUGUCUCGAUACAUCAAAGCUUCUGUUUCGCCUGAUGUGGAGGUAGUUAAUUUUCUAUGGUCUUUUAGAAAAACAGAAUCAACUUUUAAACUCCCUUUUAUUGAAAGAAGAAAAAAAACUAAUUUGUUUUUCUUACUAUCUUAAUGCAGAUCAAGAACAUGGUUUUCUUUCUCGCUGAGCUUGGAAUCCUGCAUUAUCCGACCAUCAUUCUGUACUCCCCAUCCCUGAUUGCUGCUGCAGCCGUCUACACUGCUCGUUUUACUCUGGGUAAAGUUCCUGUCUGGACUGAAACUCUGAAGCACCACACUGGCUACAACACAGAACAGUUAAGGUAGUCUUUCUUUUGUCAAUCAUCCGACUAUUUAUCUUUCUAAAUUGGAUUUAAAGUUUAUUAGCUGUGAUUGGAAACAAGUGCAUAUUUACUAAUUCAAUUGUGUUCUCUGUCCUGCAACAGGGACUGUGCCAAGCUCUUGGUUGGCCUUCACUCGAAUGCUGCAGGAAGUAAAUUCCAAGCUGUUUUCCGCAAAUUCUCAAUGCCGGAGUAUGGUGCUGUAGCUCUUUUCGUUCCAGCCAAAAGUUUUCAUUCAUCAUCAUGAAGUGUUGCUUCUGAGUCCAGUUUACUUUCUGUAGACAAUACACCCAUAUGCUAGUUGGGGUGCUUUUGAGUCGGAUAGAAGAAGAUUAUCCAAACCGUGUAUUGUUCUACAAUACUAGUCUCUUUCGGUGUGUCGAUUUUGUGCAGUCGUGUAUAUCCUCUCCUCAGGUUUCGGAUUCUUCAUAGUUGUGUUGUUGCAACAAUAUAGGCUAUAUAUCCAUUUUACUGUGUUCAAAUUUAGUUACAAUUCAAGCUGCAAACUUUCAGUUUAGAUCAUGCAAUGCAAAAUUGCAGUAUUAAUAACAUCUGUUCACUACUGUCUACAACAUUCCUCGAGUGUCAGGAUCCCGUAAACAGCUGAAAGUACACAACAGAACGCUAAAUCGAACACAAUGCAUGUUACCACUGUCUUCGACAGUUCUCCCUAAUUCGUAACACAAUGUCCUGUUACCACUGCCUACGACAGUCCUCCAAUCGAUGAAAUCUACUGAAGAAAAUACCUUUACUCUUCCUCUAUAUAUACGUAUAGCACAAUGUCUAAUUGCCGCUGUUUAUCAGCUAGCGUCUUAAUUAAGUUGGAAGACACGUGUCAAAAAAUUAUCAAGACGAGAGACGUGGUCAUUCUCUCUUCAAAACCAAUUUUAAUGAUGCAAACUUACAUGGUAAAAAACUGCCCGAGGUUCCUUUUGUGGACCAGGACGAAUGCCACACUGAAUUACCAAAUUACACCCACUAAUCGUAGCCGUAGGAUAAUCCAACGGUUUUGCCCAAAAAUAAAAAGCAAAAUCCAACGGUCAGGAAUUCAAAUGAAAAGAAUAUGACCGUUGGAGCAAAUGUGUUCUGGCGAGCUUCAAAUAGUAUACCCCUUCGCGUUGCUUUCAGACAACUGAGACCAGAAACGCAAAGCACAGAGCAGCAAAUCAAAGAAAGAAGAGAGAGAGAAAGAAGAGAGAGAAGGAAGAGGUAGAGAGAGAGAAGAAGGCGAAUUUCCUUGGACGAAUCGCUGACUCGAGAGACCCUAGAAGGCGAGAAGGAGAUCUCAGCCAUCAAUGGAGGAAGCCAGAGUCAGAACAGGGGUUGUUCCGCCUCCACCCAAAGGUAUUCGCUGUUCCCAUUUCUGAAUUUUGAAUAGACGAUUUGAACCUAUUGUAUUUUGAAUUUCUGGGUUCUUUGAUGUGAUUUUAUCUGGGUUUAUCUUCCCCUGAUCAUUUGUGGGUUGGGAUUUAGGAUUUUUUUUUUCUUUAUGUUGUAGAAUUCUUUGUUUAAAUUUCUGGGUUUUGUAGAAUUCUUCGUUUAAACUUCUGGGUUUUGGAGAAGAAUUCAUUUAAAUUUCUGGGUUCUUUUAUUGUGAUUUUUUUCUGGGGUUUAUUUUGAUCUGCCCUUUUGUUUUUCUUUAUUAUAUUUAUGAAUUUGGAAUUCGGAAUGUGGGAUUUGUUGGGUUUCAUCUGUUUUUGUUGUUUACCGUUGAUCUGGUACUCUUUGUGGGUUCAAUAAUUUCAACGCUAGUUAGGGCUUUUUCUUCUGGGGGUUUUCUUUCGUGUUUUAACUUCUGAUUUCGCCGAUUUUCUUGUUUCUUGAAGGUGGUGAUGGACUCAUAAAUAACAGGCGAGUUCUUCAGGACAUUGGCAAUCGACCCAUCACUAGGUCUGUCUGUCUCUCUCUCUCUCUCUCUCUCUCUCUCUCUCUCUCUCUCUCUCUUGACAUUGGUAAUGAACCAACAAAUUGUUGACUUGCAGAAGUUUUCGUGCGCAACUGAUAGCAAAAGCACAAGAAAAAGGAGUUAAAACUGUGGUAAUAAUCUCUGACUAUUAAGAAAAAGAUAAAAAGGAAAGAAUCCUUUAUUAUAUUGGCUAAUUCAUUAUUUAUUUUGAUUGUUAACAUUAAUCACAGACUAUUACCUUAGUUACUUUAAUCUUAUGAAAGUUUAGUUUUUUGCUCUAGGGGUUGAUUGGACUGUUUAAAUUUUGUAGAACCCUGUGGUGCUGCCGGUUCUUGAAGAUAAGGUAGCUCUCAAUCGAAAGCGUGUUCCUACCCAGAAGGUGGUUCCCAGGAAGGAAAUUGAAAAGCAGGCACCAGAGGAUUUGGUGAUUAUAAGUUCUGAUGAAGAAGAAAAGGAUAAAUCUGUAGAAGGGCGGAAGGAAGUCAAGACUCUGACUUCGAUCCUCACAGCCCGAAGCAAGGUGAUUUUUCAUGUUCUUUUGGCAUAAUGUGUGUUGAGCUUCUAACUUUUCUGUUUUGGUCCUUUUGGAGUACUGAAUUUUAGUUUGCUGCAGGCCAUGGCUCUUGGAGUGAACAUCAAGCCAAAAGAAAAGAUUGUUGAAAUAGAUUCAGCCGAUGUCAACGAUGAAUUAGCAGUGGUUGAAUACAUUGAUGACUUGUACAAGUUCUACAAGCUCACUGAAGUAUGUUGUAUUCCCUUUCUCCCUCCCUCCCCGAUUCAAUUUUCCCUUUUCCUAACUCUUAUCUUAUAAAAUGAAAAUUCCGUAUGCAGGAUGAUAGCCGAGUUCAUGACUACAUGGACUCGCAGCCAGAUAUAAAUACAAAGAUGAGAUCAAUCCUCAUAGACUGGUUGAUAGAUGUUCAUCGGAAAUUUGAACUGAUGCCUGAAACCUUCUACCUGACUGUGAACAUACUUGAUCGAUACCUUUCGAAGAAGAUCGUUUCUAGGAGGGAACUUCAGCUAGUUGGCAUUAGUUCCAUGGUCAUAGCAUCCAAAUAUGAAGAAAUCUGGGCUCCACAGGUGUGUUUCUUCACUUGUUUUAGUAAGAAUUCAUCUGAUUUCGGACAUUGUAAUUUGAUCUGAAAUUUGAAAGUGGGGUUUCCGAUAUGCAGGUCAAUGACUUUGUUUGCUUGUCAGACUAUGCAUACACUGCCAAUCAGAUACUGCGCAUGGAGAAAGCAAUUCUGGGGAAGCUGGAGUGGUAUCUGACAGUUCCAACCCCUUAUGUCUUCCUGUCUCGAUACAUCAAAGCAUCUGUUUCGCCUGACGUGGAGGUAGUUAAUUUUCUGUGGUUUUUCAGAAAAACAGAAUCAUACUUCAAAACUCUGUUUUUGGUGAACUAACAAAAACUAAUUUGCUUUUCUUACUGAUCUAAUGCAGAUGAAGAACAUGGUUUUCUUUCUAGCUGAGCUCGGAAUCCUGCAUUAUCCGACUAUCAUUCUGUACUCCCCAUCCAUGAUAUCUGCUGCCGCUGUCUAUGCUGCACGUUAUACUCUGAAUAAGAUUCCUGUCUGGACUGAAACUUUGAAGCACCACACUGGCCACUCUGAAGAACAGUUGAGGUAAACCACAUUUGGAAUCUGUAUGUGUAGCUGUGAUCGGCGAAACAGAUAAACAGGUGUAUAUUUAGUAAUUCGAGUGUGUUCUUUGACAUCCAACAGGGACUGUGCCAAGCUCUUGGUUGGCCUUCACUCGAAUUCUGCAGAAAGUAAACUUCAAGCAGUUUACCGGAAAUUCUCAAGACCAGAGUAUGGUGCUGUUGCUCUUUUUGUUCCAGCCAAAAGUUUUCACUCAUCUUCAUGAAGUGUUGCUUCUGAGUCCUGUUUACCUUCUGAGUCCUGUAUAUCGUCAGUUUUCAUAUUGUCAUUGUUGUUGCUACAACAAUAUAGCCAUUUUAAUGUGUGUUCAAAUUUAGCUGUAAACAUCAGUCAUGGUGCAAUUUUUUCUUGCAAUUCAAUCUGCGAUUUCGAUUUUGAUCUUGCAGUACAAAAUUGCAUUAUAUUAAUGACAAUAGUAUUAUUGAUUCGAGUACCAACUGUGAUCGAUUAUCAUGAAUUGCAUUGUUAACUACUGUCUACAACAUUCCUCGAACCUCAGGAUCCCGUAAAUAACUGAAGUACACCACUGAACCCUAACAGUGGACAAUGCAUACUCCAAUCUAUACAAUCUACAAAAGAAAAUACCUUUACUCUUCCUCCGAACUUCAAUGCUCAUGUUCUAGGUUCUUCCCAACACAUACGUCUUAUGAACUGCACAAAUCGUAAGAGCCUCGGGGUUAAGCGUUUUCCAGUUGUUUCUUGACCACUGGACAUUUCUGCUUACACUGGUACAGAUAUACAAGUCACCCAAGCAUCAGUUGGUCACUUUAACAUGGCUUGUGACUUUGCGAAAUCACGAGCAAAGAUGAAUUCUGAAACCAGUCAUCCAUAAAGUAUCAGGCCUCAUGGAUUAACAACGAAAACUCAUCAGUGCUGUUGUACAAGGGUGUAUGAAUAUGAGAUUCAUGGUGAAAUUAUUCAUAACUGAAACACUCUAAAGUAAUAGAUGAAUGGAAGCGCAGGUUGGGUCAAAUGUUUAGACACCUUCCAACAUCGCCAACCAUUUUCCUUCACGUAUGUGUUUAUAAUUGGAGUAGCAAGUAGAAACCAUGCUAUAGGAUUCUAAAGAACCUUAAGGAUUUGGACUACUGAAUCACAAAGUAGGCUUUCGAGAAUACAUACCCUUGUUCCAGCGAUGAUGGUGCUGUUGAGAGGAUGAACUGCACAUGCAGUAACUCUUUCUGACAAUGGAAGAAACCUGUUUUUCUUAUCUUGUUUCUUUACCCCAGAACGAUUUUGUGCAUCGUCUCUACAAGAUUAAAACAACUAUAGGAGAAGGGGAAAAGCAAUUGAAGUAAAUGUCACAUUUCUACUCUCAUGUAACCAUCCUUGUCAAGUAAAAAGCGCUAUUAGUUCCGCUGAAUGUUAAUAACAGUUCAUAUUAUGUAUUUGAUAAGAAACCCUCAGCCGCAGAGGCUGAUGGUCACAUUCCUGUUCUUAAGUAACCAACCUUAUAAUUUAGGUCUUACGCCUAGGUAGACCUUAUGGCUAAUUGACAUACUAGUAAGUUGUAGAGUUUCGUACUUGUAGUCCAUAUGGCUAGGAGAGCUUGAAUCGGGAUAGAAAUCCAAAAUAUAAAUCCCAUUGUCAGUUGAUGAUCCAACCACAUAGAUCUGCAUUAGAAAACAUCGGAGUAGCCUAAUACUUAGUUCGGUGUAAAAGUGAAAAUUUUAAGACAUUUCUGUACAAUACCAACGAUUGUAGGAUUGCUACAGGUACCAACGAUUGUAAUCAACAAAUUUAGAAAUGGCUUGAAGUAUCCAAAGCAGCACUGAGUCCUUACCGAAUUUAUUGGCGGCCAUGAAGGUUUUCUCAAAUAUAACAGAUCAGCUGAAAUACCAGAAUCAUUUCUAUGCCAUCAGAAUGAAAAGGAAACAUUAAACAAAUAGAGCAAUUAAGCACAAAGUUACAGUGUUUCUGAUAACACUUGAAUGAGUAAUACUUACAACCAAGCAGGCGGAGGACAAUGCAUAUGUGUAACUUGAAAAUUGUAAACAUCCAAAACACCUGACCUGCAAUAAGCGAGGCGCGAGCAAGAAGAAACGUAGAUUGAGUUAGAAUGGUGCAUCGGUGAUUCUGCAGCAUGCUAUAAAGUGAUUCCUGAUUCUAUUUGUUCCAGUUCUAUCAGAAUCCAUUUUUAUAUUUUGGAUCAUGUACUUCUGUUCAAGAGUUGUUCUACCCCAUACAUUAAGCACACAUUCCUAUUGUUUUCUAAGGCACGUUUCCCUUUUGUUGUAAACCAAAUCUCUUGUAUUUUCUUAAAAGAAAAGUUAUCAAGCGUCCGACGUAUUCAGAACAGUAUCCCGACUGGAUCAGCUAGGCUCAUACUGUCAGGCAAUUGCAGCCAGGGGCAGGGUUUUUAUUUGAAAAUUAGCAUAAAAAAUUAAGCAACAAUGUCAAUUGAUGCGGGGAAGAUGGAUCGAGAUUUAUGGAGUGUAUCUCCUUAGAAACAAUGUCUGAUUGUGCCUGAAAAACAAUGAGCAUUUGUAUGACCCGCUAGCAAUUCUGUUAUGUCUAGUUCAUGUUUGUAUCUUUAUCGAUUCAAGUCCAUUCACUUUUACAAAUUAUUUUCUCAUGCUAAUUUUCCCCGAUACACGUAUUUUCCGCCAUAAUUCAAAUUUCCAAAGUUCUAAACGUUUCCAUUGUAGAAAAAUUCAAAAUUCUUGUGAGAGGGAUUUGCGAAUACUUUGAAUAAGUCAUUUAAAAAUCUCUCUUUCAUACAUUUGUAAUGCUCAUGAAAGACAUUUACGCUCCUUGACACACCUGACCCUGAUAUUCUCCCUAACACCAGGGUAGGUACGUACUGGCCGACACCCGAAGGUGACGAAGCCAUAUUAGAAUGCAUGAGAACAAGAAAUAUAAAUAAAAGUUAUGAAUUUAAAUAUAAUGAAUAUGCAAUUGAGGAACGUGUUCAGAGCAUACAACUAACUAGAAUACUAAAAAGAAAUAAUAUAAAACUAAAUGAAUAAAAGAAUGGGUCAUACACCGAGAGGACUCGAAGGUGCCAAUGCGGGAGUGCCUUGACGUUGGGAUUGUAUGCCUCGAUUCUAAAUCAUGAGGGGGCUCAAAACAAAAAUGGACCAAGUUGAUAUAUAUAUAUAUAAUACGAAAACAGUUAUUCAAUAACAUACUAACCCCAAAAGUUUUAUGAAAAUUCAAUAGUAUAAUAUGUAAUAGGUUUUUCCAAAAACCCUAGCAUGCCAUAAAACCUUUCAUAAAACAUAUCUCGUACCCGGCCCAAUGCCAGCUUCUAUGUCUCUGCACCCGUAGCCAGAGAUUAUUUCUCCCGGCCCAAUGCCAGCUCCAUAUCUCUCGGCCCAGAGCCAGAGAUUAUUUCUCCCGGCCCACAGCCAACAACCAUAUACCUCGCCCGUGGCGGUAUAGUGACCACUAGAUAAGCACAAAACCAUUUAACAUAGACUUUCCAAACAUAGGUGUGUGUGUGUGUGUGUGUGUAUCUCUCUCUCUCCAAAACAUCUUCAUAGUAUAAAGUUAUCCAUCAUCUAUAUUAUAAACAAGUGUGCAAAAGCAUGUUCAUAAGCAGUAUAAAGUCAUCUAUCAUCUAUACUACAAAGAACAUGAGUUCGAUAAAAUAUGGUAAUUCAGAAUAUUCUCAGUAAGCAUAAUAUCUCAUAAAACGUUUCACAAAACAUAAUCAUUAAAUCAUGUUUUUCAUGUAUGCAUUUCUACUAUUAAAACAUGCAUUUUAAAAGGGGUCCACUCACAGAUACUUGGCCGCAGAAGAGCCACGCAAAUUAGCGAAGACUGAAACGCCACAAUAAAUGCACCUAAGCACAUAAAGAGUCCAAUUAUAAAACUUUAUUCAAACGAUUGAAUUUGGGAAAACGGACAUAACAAUGGAUUCAGGACGUCGAAUUACCCCAAGAAGGGCCCCAGUAAAUUUCCUAAAAGUCAACUAAAAGUCAACACAAGAAUAUUCUAGGAAUAUUCCCCAUAAAGGGUUUGGACUGGUUAGGGUUUAGGGUUUUGGACUUGGGUUACGGUUAGGUUAGUGGGUUAGGGCCUAGGCUAAAAGGGUUUUGGGCUUGAAUGGGCUGGCUUGGUAGUAAUUAUAAUGCACCACAAAGUAGCACACAAUAAUCCUAUUAAUUUUCCUUAUUAACACUAAGAUUUGUCAAUUGUAGCAUAUGAAAAUAAGGGUAUUUCCCGCAGAAGAUUGUUUUAUCCAAAUACUUAAAAAUGUCACAAAAACAGGGUGGCUGUCUCCACUGACCAGCCACCGAACAAUAAUUAUUAAACUAACUUACACUUAUCCAAAUGCAACGAAAUUUUAUACACAUAAACUAGACACACAGUACAACAGUCUCACAAAUUUUUGGGAGUUUUGGAUUUGAUUUGCUAUUUAAAUUAAAUCGUAGAAAAACAGUAAAGAAACAGAUUUUAAAUAAUACCAAUAGAUUUUAAUUCACAAGUUAAGAAAACGAGUUAGGGGACAUGCUAUCCACCACCAAAUAAUCAUGUAAGUAUGUUAUGUUUCAUUCAAAUCCCUUUUAUUUCCGGAUGAAGAUGCUCAAGUUGGCUCAAUGUUAGAACUCAACCUAUUACUCUUUCUUACGUAGUAUGUUAAGAGAAUGGCGUUUUCAACUUAACUUAGUCCCUAGCAUGCAAUCCAGAAUGGCGUGUUCAUAGAUUUAACAAGUAGAAAUCAUUAAGAAUAAAAAGAGUUUGAGUCAUCACAAGGCAUCGUAAGUACUGGUGUUGUCUUACUUAUCCUAGAAAUCGUUUCACAUGUUAACCACAAUUAACAAGUGCUACUCUAGAACAUAUGUAGGUCCUCAUUCAACAAGGGCAGACACACAUAUAUUCAUAGCAUUAAAAUCCUAGAUAUGCUCACUAUGUAUGCAUCCAUAGAAACACAUAAGAAUUUAUCAAUGACAUAAGUAGUGAAACAAUUUUCAUCCUUUCAUAAAAGUCAUUCAAACAAAAUAUCACAACAUACUUACGAUCCUAUUCGGGGCUUCAAAACAGCCCCUAACUACUAAAAAUUAGUUACACAUCAUUAUCAAAUUAAACCAAAAGUAAAAUAUCAGUUUGGGAAAAUAGAACCGAAAUAAGAGAGUGCAGAGGUUUCCUCUUUCCCUUGCCAAGCAGUGGCGUGAGCUCUCUAUUUUUCUUCUUCUUGUUUUUCUGCUCUCUGUUUGCUCUCUACGCUUCCUCUGCUUUCGUUUCUUCCUCUCUGUCUUCUCUCUAAUUUUUCUGCUCUUUUUCUCCCUUCUGCUCUCCGAGUCUUGCUUUCUGUUUCUUUUCCCCGAGGCUCAAGCUGCGCAAGGCAGCUUGCUACUUCCCCCAAAAUCACGUCCUCCUUACUGCUCUCUGCCCUCUCUUCUAUAUAUUUUUUUUCUUCUUUUCCCUUUCUUCUUUUCCUUUUCUUCUUUUCCUUUUCUUCUUUUGUUUUCUUCCUCUCUAUCCGUUCAUUUUCUUCUCCCUUCAAAACAAGAAUCAUGAUGAUGUUUCCAAACAUCAUCAUGACUUAUCAUUAUUAUUUUUUUAUUUAAUUUAAAAGCUGUUCUACACAAACAGUUUUGACGAAUUUAUUACAUAAAAUUUCACUUGUUCUAUUUUUAUUUUCUUUGCUAGACAAAUCCUAUAAUACGCAAAAACAAAGUAAAUAGCUCAAAAAUAUAAGGAACUAACUAAUAAAAGACAAGUGAAAUUUAUGUAAAAUAUAUAUAAA
rnacentral:lncRNA from 1 species